AGUUGGUGUCAUAGAAGCAAAUCAUGUUCCUGCAAUCUUUGCCUUGCUUUUCAUCCCAUAAACCAAGUCUUACCAACACGCUUUGAAGCUCCUCACAUGAAAUGAAGCCAUCACCAUUCAAGUCAAACACCUUGAAUGCCUUGGCAAGGUCACUGUCUCCAUGAUCAUCAUCAUCAUCAUCAUCACCGCCACCAUGGACCAUCAUUAUUUCUUCUUCCUCCUCCUCAUCAUCAAUGGCUGCCUCAAUCUUGAUGUUGUGGUUGGAGAUGGAAUCAUAGAAGAACAAGAAUUCUUCAAAGCCAAGACAAGGUUUUCCCACUAAGGACUCCAAUUCUUCAAGGCUAAACUGGACUUCGAUUCUCUCAAGCAACCAAUUAAGCUCCUCCAGGCUAACCAAGCCAUCCCCAUUCUUGUCAAGCUUCUCGAAAAUCCGUCGCAAGUCGUUCUUGCUAAGGGGAGACAUGUUGUCAAAGGGAAUAUCACCAUUAACAUGAAAUGCUUGAAGCUUGGUACUUCUGUGUAUCAACCAGUUAUGAUGAAAGCAGAGUGACGGGUGUUUUGCUAUUUAUAAUGCAAAUUAUUGGGUAACGAAGCUUGCAAGAAGUUUCCUAUGGAAAAUUAUGGAAGGAAAGAUAGAUAUAUGUGUAUAUAUAUAUAUUUCCUGAUAAAUUGUAAUUUCAUUUUUCUUUUAAAUGUGGUCUUCAUUCAUCUAAGUCCUUUUCAUUGUCUUUAUUUUGCUGCUGGCUGAAACACUCGUCAUUAAUGGGAGAAAAUUCUAGUCCCAAAUUUUGGAUCUUGUACAAAUAUCAUAUAUUUGUUUUUAGGGUAAACUACAAAAAUAAUCACUUAUGUUUGAAAUGUUACGUUUUAGUCACUUAUAUUAUCGUUUUGUUACGAAGUGGUCACUCUAUCGUUAAGUUCCAUUAUCUCCCUAACGGCAAUACUACAUGGCAAUCCAAAUAGGUUUUAAAUACCAACUUGAAUAUCUAACUGGGAUGACAAUAGGUUUUUAAUUAAAUAAAUUUAAUUAAUUAAAAAUUUUAAAUUAUUUAUACCUUGAUCUGGAAAAGAAUAAAUGUUCGUCUCUUUUUUUUUUUAGUUUUCUUUUCUGUUUUGACUAAAAAAACUAUUCUCAUCCUAAUUGGACAUCUAAGUUGGUAUUUAAAACCCAUUUGGACUGCCACAUAAGAUUGUCUUUAGGGAGGUAAUGGAGCUUAACGGCAGAGUGACUAAAACGUAACAUUUCAAACAUAAAUGACUAAAAUGUAAUUUGAAGUAAACAAAAAUGACUAUUUUUAUAGUUUACCCUUAUUUUUAUACUAGAAAUUCAUUUUAAAAUAAAAUUGUUGGAGAUAAGUUUGCUGUAUAUUACCUUUUGAGUUUAACAUAUUUGGAAAUAAAAAUCAUAUCGAAUCAUAUAAGGAAGUAAAAAUCUUUAUUUCGUAUCCUUAUUAAGGCUAGAAAUGAGAAAAUAAUAUUUAUUUUAUCUAUCUAUACCAACUAUAUAUUUACAAUUUAGUUGAGUUGUUGUCGCACAUCAAUGGGGAAGUAGAUUUUAGGAUAUAAUCAACUUUUAGGGAAGUGUUCGGUCUUUGUUACUGAGCUAUGGGGAAUUUUGGAUGGUUUGCUCUUGCUUCAGAAGCAAGGACAUAAUAGGUCUUCAUCCAAUUAGAUAAUUUCGAGGUAGGCAAAGUUUUUUGCGAUCGUCAUUUAGUUGGAGCAAAUAUUUUACUUGUUAGAAGAAUCUGACAAAAUUUAUGUUAUGAAGACAAGUGAUUCGUGCGGUAUUCUUCUAGAGAGAAUAAUCAUGCAGUGGAUGCAUUAGCUAAAAUGGCUUUUGCGAAUGAGGACGAGUUGACCUAAAUUUAACAACAUAAUUUAAAAAAUGGACUAAAAAAUGUCACAUUGACAAUAUUAGCUUAAAUUCAAGUUAAAAAAUGGCAUUGUAAUGAACCUGAAUUUAACAACAUAAUUUUAAAAGUGCUAACAGUUGACCUAAAUUUUGAAAUUUGAAAAGUAGAUGAACUGAGUUCUUAGAAAUAAAAGUACAAGCACUAAAUUUCAAAUUUACAAAGAGUGUCGGACUUGUGGCAUAUUUUAACCUUAAUAUUAUCAAGUUUUCCUUUUUCCAUAUACUCUUUAAAGUAUAAAUCAUCCUAAUAUUACCUAUGAAUGAAGUUAUGAAGUAUUCAACAUGCAGUACGAUCUAACAUUAUUUUUUAUGCUAUAUUGAAGUGAUGUUAUUAAUAUGAGAAAUCUUUUUUAGAAUAAUAAAUGUCUUCUUAAUCUUAUUUCGAAGCUUUAUGUCUCAAAUUAAAGAGUUUGCAAGUCAUUUCCGGUGCUUGCGUCUGGCUCUAUUAUCUCAAAUGGUAUCAUAUACCAUAAUAUGGUGCAACAAAACUUUUUGUAUUUACAUAACUAGCAUCUACUAUAUAAUAUUUAAGUUCAUGAUAUAAACAAUCUGUAGCAUUGAUUAUAAAAACUUGUAUAAGUAUACUAAAAAAAAUAAAAAACACUUGUAUAAAUUUAAUUUGAAAAAAGACUUAUACUAGAUUAUAACCUUUUUUUAUAAUAUAUAAAUUAGGUUAGAAAUAAUAUAAAUUUUAUAAUAUAUUACUUUUAUAAAGGGUACAAUAACUUCUAUAACACUUCUUAUAAAUAAUAUAAUUUUUCAUCGUAACUUUAGAAUGUUAAUUUUUUAUUAAUAAGUAUAUUAUUUUUAAUAAUAUAUAACAUAGACAUGUAAAUAAGUUAUAUCCUUUCUUUUUUUUUGUCAUAACUUUUUUUUUCUUUUAUAACACGUAAAUUAUUUUCUAUAAUAUACUUUUUGGCAAUAACUUUAAAUUUUUUUUCAGAUUUAAAUAAUUUUUUUUGCUAUAGUAUUAUAAAAUGCACACAAACUAUUGUUUAUAAUAAUUUUUUAGGAAUUAUAAUAUAACUUUAAAAAUUUUGAUCAUAACCAUCUCGAACACUUAUAUGAGUUUAUGUUUAUAAUAUAAUUUUUAUAACUUAAACUUGUAUAAAAAUAAUUUUUUUAAAGUUAAAUCAUGUAUAUGUGUUUGGAAAGCCAUAGGGUAAAAGGAUUUGGGUGUAAUUACCCAUGUAAUUAUUCCAAAUUUCACCUUUCUCCUAAGAAUUGGAAAAUGUAAUUAGGGUGCUUCAAUUACACCAAAUUCAACGAGAUCCACUAAUUACAAUGAUUAUCCAAACAUGUGACUUCCGUGUAGUUACAAACAAUUACAUUCAAAUUCAAUUGCUAGGUAGCUUUUCGAACACUACCUAAAUCUCAAUUCAGUUGCGAAAUCAUUAAAAGUGUAUUUCUUUUUCAAAACAAAAAAAUUAUUAGGAGGAUAUUUAUGUCUUAUAUUUUCAUGAAUCUAGAAAAAGACAUACACAUGAUAAGAAUGAUAAGAUAUAAAUCUAAGACAUCAUAAGUUUUACUAUCUCAAUUUUACCAUUUCAAUUAAAAUUAUAUUUGAGUUUUAAUCAAUUUUUUAAAAUAAAAUUGCUAUUAUGUGGUAAUAACAAAAGUAAUAUUAAGUAAAUAUUAAUUAUUGUGAUAAUAUAUCAAUGUUGAAUUAAUCUAUAUAUAAUACAUAAAACCAAUAAUUUUUGAACUAACAAAAAUAUUACUAAAUUCACAUUAAAAAUAAUUUAUUAAAAUGUUACUAGUUAAUAAUUUUAUGGAAAUAACCAAAACAGAAAUGAUAGAAUACAUGUUUUGUCAUAUAUAUAUAUAUAAAAGGUAACAUUGUCAUUUACGUUAACAAUUUAACUCAAAACAAAACUGAAUUUUUUUAUAACUUGAUGACUAAACUAGAAAUAUGGUAAUAAUUGAAUCACUAAUGAAAAAUUUACCCUUAUAUUUAUUGAUUGAUUGGAGGAGAGAUAAGUAUGGUUGAAUAUUGACUCUCUGACAACAACGUUCAGCAUUAUAUGUGGUACAAAUAAUGUACCAAAAAGGAUAUUUUGUCUUCAACAUGUUGUAACGUUUAUUAGAUUAACAGUAAUGGCAAAUUGAAGGGUGAAUGUAAGGUGCUACUAAUAAAAUGCAUAUUAUUUGUAUAAAAAAUAUUAAAUACCGACUGGGUUUAAAUUUAGUUGUAUGAGUAUUAUUGUCAAUAUAAAAUCAUGUAGCUUUAAAUGUAUUAAAGAGUAUUAUCUUCCUAUUUAUCAAUUACAGAAAAAUUAUAAAUAAUUUUAAACAUUAUAUAAAAAAACAAAUAUAAUUAAAAUUUAUAAUAAAAUUACUAAAAAUAUAUUUUAAAAAAAUCAAAUACAUAUUAUUUGUUCAGAGAAAUAUUGGUGAAAAAUAUUGCAAUAUGAUUGGUUUAUAGGUUCUAAGAUGAAACACGUGUCUUCAACAAAAGGAAAAGUUUGAAACACGUGUCUACACCACGCAACAUUUAAUUAUUCCGGCUAUGGUCGGUUUGUCAUCUAUUAAUAUGAUGGAAACAUCAAAUUCCACACAGAAAAAUAAAAAUAAAAAUAGAAAACGAACAUUUUUUAAAAAAAAAAUCUAUUAUAAUAAAAACAAGUGUGAUUUCUUCAACCAAAGUUGAUAUUUUAUAAUUUUAUCUUUCAAUUGUAUUAAAAAUUGAAAAUAAAUAAAUAAGAUAUAUAUCAAAAUUUUAAUUAUGUUAUGUACUAAAUAAUUACCCAAAAUAUUUUAUCUGAAUAAACAUAUUUAAAUUUAAUACUUUUUUACUUAAACUUUUUUUUAUUUAAUUUGUGUGUACUUCACGCAUUUUUUUAAUUUGACAAUUAUUUUUUUUAAUUUAGUACAUGAACUUAUCAUUUUUUCUUAAUUUGAUACUUAAGUUUUUUUUUGUUCAAUUUGGUACCUAAGCUUAUCAAAUGUUAUAUAAACUACAUUAACAAUGUUUUUUUGCACAAAGUAGCAAAAAUAAAAAAAUUAUGAUCCACAUGUGACAGAAAAGAUGGAUUUUCUUUUUUAUGUUUUAAAUAUUCAAUUGCUUUUAGUUUAACUAAUUUAUUUUAAUUUAAUUUAACAUAAUGAUUUUUCCGGAGGGAAGGGUUUAAAACUCUUGUCUUCUUCUCAACAUCCAUUUAUUAAGCACAGCUCAAAGAAAAAAAUUUAAACACAAAUUUUCUUUAGUACUGAUGAUAUUUUUGUAGAAUUGAGGGCUUCGUGAAGAUCAAGUCGUGCUUUAAGCAUGAGUCCCCUCUUGAAUCGCCCCUGCCACUAACGGUCAAAGUAAUAUAAACUCAUAUGAAAAGUAAAAUUUGAGCAUAUUGUUUAGUGAAAUAGAGGAAACUCCAAAUAAAUAUAUUCAUUCCUACCGUUAAUGGUUAAAUUAACUAUUUUAAUGAUGAAAGGACUUGAUUGAUAUAAUAUUGAUGGUUUUGAAGUGUAAUUAGAAUGUUUUGAAGUUUAGGGGCCAAUUUAAAAUGAGAGUCAUAGUUGGAGAUGUCUAGUGCAAUUAAAUCAAAGUAUUUAUAAGUAUGCUCAUAUUUGUAAAAUGCCUAAGGUAAAACGGUGAAAUUAAAAUUAGUGGUGAGAUAUAUAUUUAGAUUCAAUCAAAACGGUGGCGAGAAAUAAUUUAGAGUAAAAAAAUAAAAUAACUAUUAAAAACAUUAAAUUGAAAUGUAUAUAAUAAAAAAAAUAAUUUAUUUUUUAUUUGUAAAAUUCAUAAAUAAUUAAAUUAUAUAUUGAAUAAUUAUUUUAUUAAUAUUUUUUAUUAUUCAUGUAAUAUUUAUUUUUUAUUAUUUAUACGUUUAUAAUAAAAAUACAUAUUCAAUUAUUAUAUAUUUUUUGAAGUUAUAAGAAAAUAAAUUUUAUAUAUUUAUUAUGUAAAGAAAUAUUAUAUAUUUAUUUCUUAAUUAAUACAUAAACCAAUUUUUUUUUAAAAAACCUAAAAAUUCUAUGAAAACAAAAAGUCAAAUAAAGGACCAACAUGUAAAGAGCAAUUUUGGUUGGGCUGCUCUUUUUCUGAUUGUAGCCUUAACCCCUGGUUAUAAAUUGGAUGGACAGUGCUUGUCUAUGGAUACUAACCCAUAGUAAUUGUUAUUUGGAAUUUUUCUGAUCAUUUUAUAAUUUUUAAAAGUUAAAUUAUCAAAACAUAAAUUUAUUAAUAAAAUAGUGACUUUGGGUAUAAUUUUCUGUAUAAUUUAAUUUUCAUGUCAUAUGCAUUACAUAAUAUAUAAAAGAAAAGAAAAAGUAAUAUAUUAAAAACUUGAAAAUGAGUUAAGAUAGGGUCGGGUCAAGUUUUAGUUCAAAGUAUUAGAGUUCGAGUUCCAUUCAAAUUUAAUAGAGAUUUAAUAUUUAUUUUACCUGAACUCAUUUUCUGAAUCUAAUAUUUUUAUCUUAAACUUCUCAAAUUUUAGAUAAACUUUCAAACUUGAACGAAUAUCUCGAUCCAUAGAAUAAUUAUAUCAAAAACCAUUGAGCUCGAACUAAGAAACACUUUUACAAGCUUGUUUCUAAUAUUCUUCAUAAAAAUUAAAAAAAUAUAUAAAAUUUUAAUUGCAACCAACAAUCAACACAAACAACAUAUGCAUUGUAAAUAUCAAACUAGAUAAAAAAAUAUUACAAGGUUGUAGUAGGAUCUGAAAAACACCAUAGAUAUAAAAUUUUAUUUUUUGCUUAAUACAGCUUAUAUUGCGGAAGGGAUAACUCAAUUGGGGACUGAUAAUUGUGAUCAUGACAUUGAUGAAACCCUUGGAAUUAAGAAACGGUACGUAGCAUCAUGUUUUUGAAUUCUUCAAAAUCAAUCAUGCCAUCCAAGUUGGUGUCAUAGAAGCAAAUCAUGUUCCUGCAAUCUUUGCCUUUCUUUUCAUCCCAUAAGCCAAGUCUUACCAACACGCUUUGAAGCUCCUCACAUGAAAUGAAGCCAUCACCAUUCAAGUCAAACGCCUUGAAUGCCUUGGCAAGGUCACAGUCUCCAUGACCACCAUCAUCAUCAUCACCGCCACCAUGAACCAUCAUUAUUUCUUCUUCCUCCUCAUCAUCAAUGGCUGCCUCAAUCUUGGUGCUGUGGUUGGAGAUGGAAUCAUAGAAGAACAAGAAUUCUUCAAAGCCAAGACAAGGUUUUCCCACUAAGGACUCCAAUUCUUCAAGGCUAAACUGGACUCCGAUUCUCUCAAGCAACCAAUUAAGCUCCUUCAGGCUAACCAAGCCAUCCCCAUUCUUGUCAAGCUUCUCGAAAAUCCGUCGCAAGUCGUUCUUGCUAAGGGGAGACAUGUUGUCAAAGGGAAUAUCACCAUUAAUAUGAAAUGCUUGAAGCUUGGUAUUUCUGUGUAUCAACCAGUUAUGAUGAAAGCAGAGUGACGGGUGUGUUGCUAUUUAUAAUGCAAAUUAUUGGGUAACGAAGCUUGCAAGAAGUUUCCCAAGGAAAAUUAUGGAAGGAAAGAUAUAUAUAUAUAUUUCACGAUAAGUUGAAUUUUCAUUUUUCUUUUAAGUGUGGUCUUCAUUCAUCUAAGUCCUUUUCAUUGUCUUUAUUUUGCUACUGGCUGAAACAUUUGUCAUUAAUGGGAGAAAAUUCUAGUCCCAAAUUUUGGAUCUUCUACAAAUAUCAUAUAUUUGUUUUUAUACUAGAAAUUCAUUUUUAAAAAAUUGUUGGAGAUAAGUUUGGUGUAUAUUACCUUUUGAGUUUAACUCAUAUUUGAAAAUAAAAAUCAUAUCGAAUUGUAUAAGGAAGUAAAUUCAUUAUUAAGGCUAGAAAUGAGAAAAAAAAUAUUUAUUUUUAUCUAUCUAUGCCUACUAUAUAUUUACAAUUUAGUUGAGUUAUUGUCCCUCAUCAAUGGGGAGAUGGAUUUUAGGAUAUAAUCGGUUUUUGGAGAAGUGUUCGGCCUUUGUUGCUGAACUAUGGGGAAUCUUGGAUGGUUUGCUCUUGCUUCAGAAGCAAUGACAUAAUAAGGUAUUCAUUCAAUCAGAUAAUCUUGAGGUAGUCAAAAAUUCAAAUAAUAUAUAAAACCACAAGUUUCGAAUAAUUUUUGAACUAACAAGAAUAUUUUUUUAUUGUGUUCAUUAUAUUACUAAAUUGACAUUAAAAAUAAUUUAUUAAAAUGUUACUAAUUAAUAAUUUUACAGAGAUAAUUAAAACAUAAAUGAUAGAAUAUAUGUUUUGCUAUAUCAAUUAAAAAAGGCAACAUCUUUAUUUAAAUUAACAAUUUAACGACCAUGACCAAAACAGAAAUGAUGAAAAAAAUAAAUAAAUAAAAUGAAAAUUUUUAUAAUUUGAUGACCAAAAUAAAAAUAUGGUAAUAACGAAUCACUAAUGAAAUAAUUUACCCUUAUAUUUAUUGAUUGAUUGGAGGAGAGAUAAGUAUGGCUGAAUAUUGACUAUCUGACAGCAACGUAGUAUUGUUCAAUACUGUACCAAAAGGGAUUUGUCUUCAACAUGUUGUAACGUUUAUUAGAUUACUAUGGGCAUAAUUAUUUGUAUAAAAAAAAUAUUGUAGACUAAUUGAGUUUUAAUUUAAUUUGUUGUAGGCCAAUUUUAACCUACUUGCAUCAAAACUCAAUUUAACCUUAUCUAAUCUACUAAAAUUAAACCCAAACCCCAAAAUCUUAACUACCCAAAGCCUAAUUUACAUCAAAACCCCAAUGACCCAAACUCUAAGCCCAAAUUAAAAUAAAAAAACCCUAGCCCACAACCUAAACUUUUCUCAACUAAAUCCUAGCCUUUGCCACCAUCAACUCCACUAGCCACACUUGCUCCACCACCUACUCCACUAGCCACACUUGCUCCACCACCACUUGUACCUACAAAUGAAGACAUAAACAAUAAAAAAUAUUUUGUAAAUGGCUAUAUAAGCCUUCUCAUAUUUUGUAUUUAGAGGAGGAAGAAGUUUUUGGGGGAGAAAGUUAUUGUAAAGGAUUUUUGAGAGGUUUUUUGAGAGUAAUCAAGGAGAAGAAUUAUUGUAAAGGCUAGUUUUUGGAGAGGCUAAUUUUUUUUUUGGAGAUUAAUCAAAUAUCAAAGCAAAAGAGGUUUCUUGGUCUAUUCUCGUUUCAAGUUCUUUGUUUGCUUAUUGUUUUCCUUUCAGUUUUAUUUUGUUUCUUUUAUACGAAAGUAAAAAUAAAAGGAGGAAGCUUUCCCAUUUUUACCGAAAAAGUUUUUUUUGAGGUCCGACUGCCGUGUACGAUGGCACCGACGGUGGCCGGCGGCGGUCCGGUGACCGGACGGUGGCCGGAAAUCACCCACUCUCUCCCUCUCUUUUUUUGUUAUUAUUAUAUUUCUUAAUAUUAUAUUAUGUAUAUAUUCUUUUAAUAUAUUAGGUAUAUUCUAAAUUCUAUAUUACGUAUAUAUAUUAUACUAUUUUAUGUAUAUAUCUUUAAUACUAUAUUAUUUAUAUAUAUAUUUUCUACAUGUUAUCUUAUGUAUAUAUUUUAAUUAUAUUAUGUAUGUAUUUUUUUACACUAUAUUAUGUACAUAUUUUUUUUAUAUCUAUUUUAUACAUAUGUAUAUAUUAUAUAUAUCUUAACAUUACUAGUUAUAUUUUCACUAUUUUAUGUAUAUACUUCAAACACUAUAUAUAAUAUAUUUCUAACACUAUUACUAUUUAUAAAUAUAUAUAUUUUACGUACAUACUCUUAAUAUCUUUAUUAUGUAUAUAUUCGUUGUUUUUAUUUCACAUUGGAUACUAUUAUUACGUUUAAUAUAUCGCAUGCAUUGUUAUUGUUUUAAUAUUGUUGUCAUAUUUAUUAUUUGUUUCAAUGUAUUUCCAACUCGUUUAUUUUUGUCUCCUGCCUAUUUUAUAUCAUUCUGUUGUUAAUUACUUUAAAGAUUUUUAUUCAUGUUUUUACUAAUUUCAAUAAAUAAGGCAAUGUUUCGCAUUUUGGAACAUCGAAGAAUUGUGCCCUAACUUACGGGGUUUUGGUUCUCUUGUUGGUUCUAAAUAGCUAAAUAUCCUUUUGAGUUUUGAAAUGCACGGAUUUCCAAUUUAAAUUAAAAGACGACCUUAUGCUCGGGAGUUCAUGGUAUUGUGUCCUAACUUACGGGAUGUAAUACUCCGAAAUCUAGAGAUAAGGAAAUCUUUAAACAAAUCGAUUUAAGCCAAUUCAAGAGUUUUAAAUUCAGUAUUAAUAGAAAAUAUCGUAUUUCAAGUCCCUUCCCGAUUUUUAAUUUUCGACAUUAAGACACUAACUAAUCAAUUCGGUACCAAUUUUUUGGGCGUGUCGAGGGUGCUAAUCCUUCCUCGCACGUAACCGACUCCCGAACUCAUUCUCUCAAGUUUCGUAGACCAAAGGCCCUGUUUUAGUAAACUAAAAUUGAUUUAUUAAAACAAAGGUGAUCCGAUCACACCUGAUAAAAGAUUGGUGGCGACUCCCGUUUUAAUUUUCACUUUCAAACAAAGUCAAUCCCCGUUUUCAAAAGAAUGGUUUCGACAUAAUUGACAUAAAUAUAAUGACGUAACUAUUAAGAGGUUUAGGGUUAUGAUUUAAAAUGAUAGAUUUUAAUUUAAUUUUUUAUAAUAUAUAAAAUUUUUAAUUAAUAAUGAUAAAAUUAUAUUUUAAUUAUUUAAACAUUAUAAAAAUUUGAUUUAACUUUUUAAAAUUUAUAAAUAUAUAGAUUAUUAAAAUAAUGAAAUUAUAUUUUUAUUAUUAUAAAAAUAUAAAUUUAAUUUUGGCCUUCAAAAAGAAUUUUUUGACUUCACCACUACAUAAGUAUUGUUGUCAAUAUAAGAGAAGGUAAAUUCGAGUUCGAUAAAGCACAUUAUCUUCUUAUUUAUAAGUUGGGAAGGGAUUGUGAAUAGUUCUAAAUCUUAUGUUAAAAAAAUAGAUAUAAUUAAAACUUAUAAUAAGAUUCUUAAAAAAAUAUUGGGUGAAAAUAUUGAAAUAUUAAUUAAUAUUUCAAAAUGAAACACGUGUCUUCAGCAGAAAAAAGGAUGAAACACGUGUCUACACCACGCAACAUUUAAUUUUUCCGGCUAUGGUCGGUUUUUCAUCUAUUAAUUAAUGGAUUUAAUAUUUUGAAGAAUAUUAUGAUGGAAACAUCAAAUUCCACACGGAAAAAAAUAAAAUAAAAAACGAGUUUUUUUUAAAAAUAAAUUUACUAUAAUAAAAACAAGUGAGAUUUCUUCAAUCAAAGUUGAUAUUUUAUAAUGUAUUUUUCAAUUGUAUUAAAAAUUAAAAAUUAAAUAAAUAAGAUAUUUAUCAAAAUUUUAAUGUACUAAAUAAUUAUUGAAAAUAUUUUUUCUGAAUAAACAUAUUUAAAUUUAAUAUUUUUUCUUAAUUUGAUACUGAAGUUUUAUUUAUUUAUUUAAUUUGUGUAUACUUGAUGCAUUUUUUAAUUUAGUACUUGAAUUUGUCAUUUUUUUCUUAAUUUGAUACCUAAGUUUUUUUCUUAUUCAAUUUUGUACCUAAGCUUCUCAAAUGUUAUAUAAACUACUCUAAUAUAUUAACAAUUUUUUUAUGAAGUAGCAAAAAUAAUAAAUUUAUGACCUACAUGUGACAAAAAAGAUGGAUUUUCUUUUUAUGUUUUAAAUAUUCAAUUGCCUUUAGUUUAAUUAAUUAAUUUUAGUUUAAUUUAACAUAAUGAUUUUUUUGGGUUUAAAACUCUUAUUUUCUUCUUCAAUAUCCAUUUAUUAAGCACAGCUCAAAGAAAGAAAAUUUAAACACAAAUUUCUUCUACUACUGAUGGUAUUUUUUCAGAAUUGAGGGCUUCACGAAGAUCAAGUCGUGCUUUAAACACGAGGUCCCUCUUGAAUCGUCCCUACCACUAACGGUCAAAGUAAUAUCAAGCCAUAUGAAAUUUGAAAUUUGAAAUUUGAGCAUAUUGUUUAGUGAAUUAGAGAAAACUCCAAAUAAUAAUAUAAUCAUUCCUACCAUUAUAUUUCAUAUCAUCUAUCACAUAUUGCCAUGUUGGUCAUAUAUUAGCAAUUUUUGUUCCCUCAUGAAAAACUAACAUCGUUGAUAUUUUGGAGUAAUUUGUAUGACAUUUGAGAAGUUUAGAUAACAAAUUAGACAAAAAAUCUCAUGUGUGAAAUUAGGAAAAAGUGUCAAGUUAAAGUAUCAAAUUGGACAAAAAAAAAUUUAGGUACCAAAUUGGGAUAAAGUGUCAAGUUUAGGUAUGUGACAUCUUAUACCCGACCUAGUUGUUGGAUCCAAAUAUAAAAUGUCACAUUUUGUUGCCGAAGCAACUUACUUUUCUAUCUUACUUUAUCAAAAUGGAAAUGUAAUGAUAGAAUUAUUUUAUAAAAAUUCCGGCGGCACUUCUGCCUAUUUGACGUAAAAACCCCCUGUAAAAAUUUAGAUUUCACAAUAUAUCCACAUUUAAAUCAUUUCUCUGAUCAAUUCUCAACACUUCGAUUUCUCAAAACAUACCAAUAAACUAGAUUUCUACGCUUUGCUAUUUCAUCAAAACAUUAGUUAUAAAGUACAAGCCUAGGUGCAUAGCAAAGAAAACAUAGGAAAAAAUGUUUAAAUUCAGUUUACGACACAAUAUUAUAUAUAUACAAGCCUAGGUACAUGCCAUUUAUAUAAAUUAUAAAGUAAACUUUUCAUCAACAUUGUUUGAACUGAUCUUGGGAUGCUACUAAAACUACCUAACAAACAUAACCACCUAUGCACAGAAAAAUAGACAAACUAUACGCUGAGUAAUUUUUAUACUCAGUGGUGCUAAUAUCGUAUAAAUCAUUACAUGAGUAUUGAAUAUAAAUUACUUGAUAGCAAGAAAUCAAAAUAUGAUUAUAAAUAUCAUUAAUAACAUCACAAUAAAAUAAAAUUCUAAUAUUAAUAAACUUUAAUAUUACGAUAUUGACAAACCGAGUAAAAAAUAGGUUUUUUUAAUCAAAUUCAAAAUCAUGUAAUUAAUUUAAUUUGCACAAUAUGAAAAUUCAAAUAAAUUUAUUUUUUUUAUUUUUUUUAAUUUAGACCCCUUAUUAAAGUUUAGAUUCAUAACCAGAUAUACGAAUCCGCCACCUCGAGUUAUUCAACAACGAUGGCUAUCAAAGUAGUCCACUGCUCUCUGGGAAUUGAGACUGCCCACGACCACCUAGGAAUUGGGGCUAGCAAUAAUAAAAACUUCCCAAUUUGGCCUUUUCUCCCUUGACCCUCUGGGAAUUGGGGAGAUUUAAAUCCUCUUAUAUAAAGACUCUAUGACAUGCCAACUAUAUCUGAUUUAGUCUAACUUAGUGUAGCGAGGUAAAAACCAAGUUUCAUGAUCCGUUUCAAUUCAAUUUCAUUUUAGUUUCAUUUCACAUUCAAAUCAUAUAUCACCUAAUGUAAAAUUAGACUUCCAAUUCAAAACAUAUUAAACAUUUUCUUGUUCAAUAAUCUAAAAUCAUAAUACUCAAAUUCAAAUUAUAACCAUGAAUUUCCUAAUUCAAUCAUUUGAAAAACGUAGUCUUCAUCUCAAAAUAUAAUUUUAUAAAUAUUAACUAAAUCAUUCAAACUCAUCCAAAACUCAUAAAAGUAAAAUAAAUAUAACUAGUCAUAGUAAACUAAAUGUUCUAAAGCUUUAUGUAAUGAAAAUAAUAUAUUAGCACAAACCGAAGUUUCAAUCACUUUGCUCCUUCUCUUUGCCUUUCUCUUUUAAGAUGCUCGCUUCGUUUUUAGCUACAAUAGGAGCAAUUCAAUACGAAAUAAUGGCAUUUAUUCAUUCUAAUACUAAAACUAAUAAAAACAAACUUAAAUAUGCAUGGUUAAUCAAGUUGAUAACUUAAGUUUCCUAGUCCAAAAUUCGUAUAUCUUUCGACUAGAUUAUCCGUUUUCAAUUCCUUUUUCACCAGAAUACUCACUGGUUCACAAGUUAUCAUUUAGGUCCAAUAUUACACAAAGUAGUCAAGGUUCUCUACUUCCCCUUCCCCAUGGCCAAAUGUACCAAGUAAACUUUCCAUCCAUUUUUAUUUCUUCCUCACAUUUUUAACAAGCUAGAAUUCAUCUUCUAAUCACUUUCUAUCAAAAAAUAUACCUAUUUCACUUAAGUUUUCUAAACUUCCAUCAAUGUCAUUUAAUGAUAACUUUCAAUAUACUUGAUAAAAUAAAAUAAAAACUAUUGAUAUAUAUAUAUAUAUAUAAAACAAGCUUCAAAGAUUCAAAAUCUAUUAAAAAUUUGAAGAAAAACCAUACUUUAUGCUUGAUUUUAAAGGAAAAUGAUGAAAUAAUUUUUUUCUUCCUCAACUUUAGUGAAUAAUAAAGUAAAGUAAAUAAAUAAAAUAAUAAUAUUUUAAAUAAAAUAUUAAAUAAUAAGUAUUUAAUAAAAAUAUUGUUUAAAAGCAAUCAUGAAACGGUAAUGGUAAAAUUUUCAUUAAAUCUUUAGGAUAAUUGUAAUUUAUAGUCUCUAUACUUUCUCAACUUAUUCAGUUUAGUCUCAGAACACAAUAUCGAAUUUUUUAACUUAACCACAUACUCCUAUUAAUAAUUCUCUAUGUUUUCAUGUAUGACAGUUUCCUCUAAAAACUAUCACAAUUUAUUUUUCUACUAUUUAUUUAUAGAUCACUUAUUUAAGGAUUUUUAUCAUAAAUAUUUUUUUUUAAAGUGAGAAUGUUAUAAAGUACAAAAUUGGACCAAAAAAGUUUAAAUGUCAAAUUAAGAAAAUAUGUCAAGUUCGGAUACUAAAUAUUAUAUUAGGCCUUGAUAUAAAUAUUAAAUUGAUUUUUUAAGGUUAAAGAAAUCCUUAGUAAAGAAAUAAAUUAAGUCUUUAAGUAAAAAAUGUGUUUACUUGAGCCUUCAGUGACAAAAAACUCAAUUGAACUCUUUCAUUGACAAAAAUUAUGGUUGACCAAUUUGAUUGUUAACAAAUGUUGACAUGACUAAUGAAAGCAAUAAGAAGCUAAUACAUUGUUUGUAUUUUUAAAUAAAAAAACACGUUAGCAUAUAUCUAAAAAAUAAAAUAAUAAAAUUUAUUUAAAAAUAUUAAAAAAAUACUAGUAAAAAUAAAGCUGAAUAAAUAGAUAUUCAAGUUCAUUCUAAAUGUGGUUGAAAAUACAAUAAAAAUUGUGUGAUUUUCAUAUCUUGUUCUUUUUGACAUAAUGUCUAAAACUACCUAUAUUCUUUCCAACUCAUAAAUUUGAGGAUAAUUCGCUUCGCACUCAAAUCCGUAUGCUCCUACAUUAUCAAUAAUGCGGAUACUAAGCUUAGACUCCAUUGAUAUUAAGGCAGAAUUUUAAUACUUCACCAGCUUUUUUAAAACUAUCCUGUUAAGAACUUCCUUAACACUCUAAAGGACAUUAUCCCAUUUAAAAUCAAAAGAAAUUUGUAAGAUAAAAAUAAAAAUAGAAACAAUAUUGAAAAUCAAAGUAAAGAAUUGAUUUGCUAGCAAGCAGAAAUACCAGUCUAUAGUUUCAUAAAGACACUGAGAAUAGAUACAGCAAUUAAAACAAGUUCAUGGUUGGGACUGCAAUACAACUUAGAAAUUAUUACAAGAGGUAAAUAUGCAUGAGUUUAAGAUCAUAUCACAUCCCUGGAAUUAAAUAUUCAGAUAAAAUGUUAUCAUAGUAUCACCAGAAAGCAAGCUUGAGAGAAUUUCAGGCUUCAGCAUAUGCCCCAAUUCACAGUGUUAUUACAUUCUCUCUUGUAAGUUUGGCUGCAUUGGCUGCACUUGGAACGUGGAAGACAUCUGUGAGUUGUAGUCCCGGGCUCGCUGGUAUCCAUGAUCCAUCUGCUCUCUUGCACUUUCGUAAGCCAUUUGUUGUUGAUUCUGCAAAAUAUUAAUUAAAAGAGAGAUUAUACAUGUGCUUUAUGGAAUCAGACUAUAUUGAUGAUGAUGAUGAGUUUCAGGCCAAAACAUGAAUAACAUUAUAUUGGAAUAUGCAUGCAUGUUUAUAUUUAUAUACUAUUAUCUAGGACUAGCAACAUUUACAUUAUUAUUUAUUACAAUACAGGGAUAGAAUAGAGGAAAUCACUGAUCUACCAAAGAUCCUUGCUAGCCUUAAGGGCUUUCAAUGGUUAAAGGAGAAAAGUUUUCCCUUUUGUAUGCUCCCCUUAGGGUUAUGUCAACUCAACAAGGUUCUGCCAUAUGCAUUGUGCUUUUUUAGUUCUUUUGCUACAGCAUACUUGGCUGGGUGGAAAGAAAAUUAGAAAGAUCGAAAAUUGAAGGGGAGGGAAAAUAGAAAUAUGAAGAAUAUAAUUUUUCUGUGCCUGAUAAGAAAGAUAAAAAAUUAAAAGAAAAGAUAAUUUUUUUUAAUUCUUUGCUUGGAAAAGUUGAAAAAUGAAAAGAAAGAAUAAAACAUUUGAAAAAUGCAUAAUUUUAAACUAACAUAUCUCUCCUAUUUGGAAGGAUUGAUUUUUAUGAAUCAGGAUAGAAAACAAUCUUUCCUAUUUCUUUCCUCUCACUUUUCUUUCCUACCAAGGAAACUCAAAUUUUAGUUAUUUUUUUCAUUUUUCCAUUCAUCCCUUCCAUCCCUUCACUUUUUUACCCAACUAAACACACCCUAAAAGCUAAAUUGAUAUAGCAUUGAGUAGUCCCAACAUAUGGGAACCAAGACCAGUUUUUUUCCGUUAUUAUUCAUGGAUAAAUUAUACAUGAACUUUGAUUGAAUAUGUAAUGUUAUGCAUGAACUUUGAUUUUGUACAAUUGUAUACAUGAAAAUUUGAUUUUAGUUCAAUUUUCAUAAAUCACUUACACUCUUAUCAAUGAGAUACAUUUUAAAUUUAUUUGUUGUAUAGAUAAACAAUUAUAUUUACUUAAUAUAAAAAUAAGUGAAAAUAUCUUUAUUUAUAAAGGUUUACAAUUGACUUGAAAAAAACAAACUGAAAAUAUAUUAACUUUUUUCUUAAGUGAAAAUAAAAAACACAAUUGAAUCAAAACUAAAGCUUUAUGUAUAUAAUUUAUUAAAUUAAAAUUUAUAUAUCAUAUUGCAAAUGAAUCAAAAUUGAUGUGUAAGUUUGAGAUUUAAUGCUUCAUGAAAAUUAGCAUAGGUCGACUAGUAAAUAUAGACCACCCUAGCUAUAACCAAAUUGGCUGAUUGAGCGGGAUGACAUAACAUUUCUGCCCUCCUCAAUCAGUAAGUUAUUAUACUAGAAUGAACUGUUGGACCAAUAAUCAUGAUAUAUUUGAUCCAAAACCAGAAUAAAUCUUAAAAAAAUCUACAUGCUAUUUGAGAUAUUCCUAUAUAUUACUUCUUGCCUUUUUUUUUAUAGCUUCUUUAGUUACAUGCAAAAAAUAAAGCCAUUUUUUUAUAGCUUCUUUAGUUACAUGCAAAAAAUAAAGCCAAAACUUUCAAGUUAUGAUCACUGUUUUCUUCCCACUCCAUUAAUACAUACUAUAUGCUUUUUUUGUUGAUACAAGACUUUAUGAUAGAGGAUGAGGAGGGCUAUCGUGGUGGUAUUGAAAGCCAUUGAGGGGUUUUUUAAGUAUUUGGUGAAGUAUGCGCAGAAUAUCAGUAAUAAUGAGUGCUUGGCCCUCUUUCGGUGGAGAAGAGGAGCGUUUAUAUAAGGUUUUGAGCCCUCUUGUGUGUCCUUUGAAUAAAGACAAUACAGUAUAAGCCUAGAAGUUAAGUGGCAGUUGGUCAGAUUGACGGGUGCCUAAGUUGACUUGAUAUGACUAGUAGAUGGUAUUAGGAAAUGAUGGACGGACAAGCACUGGUCACCUGGCAAGGAACUUAACGUUAUGAAGUGGCCUUCUCCGAGGCUACUAAUUGGUUAGGUUGUUGUAGCGAUGUAUGUUGUGCCGAGAAGAAAUCAUAGCAACAUUUGGUUUUUUUAUGGUCAUUUCCUGAAUUUCCACUUGAUGUUUUAGUGAGUUUUGUCAGCUUUUGACGUGGCAUUUGUUGACUGGUGCAGUUAGUGAUGUAUUUAAUGUGUUUUGAUAGCUACAUGCUUGUUAUAACAACGGAUGAGCUUUUUGUCACUUGGUUUUCCUACCUAGAUAACUACAAGUUUUAAAGCUUUUUUUUUCUUAUUUCUCCUAUUUUUUGUUUUUGCUUUCUUGUUUUAUAGUUGUUCCAUCGAUUGACACAAACCCUCCUUCGAGGAUCCUGAUGUUUUGAUAGAAAGCAGUGUUUGUGAGUGUUGUGCCAGAUCGAAGGUGGUGGAGGUUGUCAGUAUCAAGUUACCACAUUACAAGUAUGAUUUUAUAAUAUAGUUCUCACAAGUUAGUAAUGCUUCGGCAGACACUUUUUCUUUCCCCUUUACUUAUUUUAAGCAAGGUUUCAUCUAUAGUUGAAUCCUUGGCUUGUUGUUGUGCCAUCAGACUAGGAGAUUGCUCCAGGUCAAUUGGCGGGGUGUGCUUGGCAUCUUUUGAUGGCUUUCUUUUUAAAUUAUAAUAAGUGUGAAUCACCUCAUGCUAGUAAUUUUAAAAUUUUAUUUACUCUCAAAAUUUCCAAUGAGAAGAAAAGUUGAGAAAUAUGUUGCUCUGUGAUGUGAGGUAAUUCACUUUUGGGUUUAGGUUGAGGCAACUUACAUAUGGACCAGUUAGGAGAUGAGUUUCCUUUUCCUACUUCCUACAAGGAUUGUUCUUAUACUCCUGUUAUGGAUGCUCAAGAGUUUGUCACAAGUUGAGCGAUCUCUUGAUCAUGGUCAUUUUUGGAGGUUAUAUUUGAACAAAAGAAGUUUGAAUGACGUGAUAGCAAAUGAACUUAUCUCAUGAUUUAGCCUUAGGAAGUAGUGGCUAAUAGGUGAUCAGGAUCCUAUAGCUUAAAAUGUUGCUUGACAAAGUCAUCAAUCCUACGUUGCCAAACCAUUCAUUUUAGAUAAGGUCAUAUAAUUUCGAACAAAGUUUGUAUGUUCGACGAUUUCGCCAAGCAUCAUUUUUGCCAAAAGAUCCUAACCACCUCCCUCCGUAGAGCUAAGUCACAAGUGUAAAUCAAAAUGUUACUUGAAAUAAGGAAGAUCAUCUGCUCCCACGUAAUUCAAAAUUCUUUCAUUCAAACAGAACCUCUCUAAUAAUGACUUAAAGUCAAACACAAUACUAAUUGACCUAGAACAAUCUCGUAAUCUAAUAGCACACACCCUGUUUGAUAGCACAACAGAAACAACAAAUCAAACUCUACUUCAAAUGAGUAAAGAGGAAGGAAAAACUAGUUCUCAUCUGUCGAAGCAUCACUCAACUUGUCCUACUUGUAGUAAGGAAACUUGGUAUCCUCAACGCUAACAUGACUUCAACCUCCGUCUCUAUGAUUUCUUCUCUCCACAACCUACUUCGUUCUAAGAACUUUAGAGAAGGCCAAUUAUUGGCAAUCGUUAGCAAUUAUUACACCCUAUAAAGAUCUUACCAAGCAACCCUCGCCAAAGAAAAACAAAACUUAAUAAGGAAGGCCAUCAAAUCUUAAAACAAAUUUCUUAAUAAGACCAGCACUUGUGUUCAUCAUUUUCCAAUACCAACUCCUCAACACAAAACUAUGCCUUGACUAGUUACAUUAAAUCAAUUCAGACACCUAUAAAUCUAAUCAACCAUGACCCUAUUCUUAGGGCUUAAAAGUAAGUUCUCUAUUCAACGGAUCCAAAAAGGCCCCCCACAGAAGACCCCAAAACCUUAGGGUCUCCUCCGCCAAAAACCAAGCACUCAUUGUUAUCUAUACUCUAUGGAUACUUCGUUAGUGGCUCUCGGUAUUAUCACAAUGUAAAUCACUUGUAACUUCAUUAUCAGACCUUGCAUCAAUAGUUUUCUUGAAGUACAGCGUCUACAAUGAGAAUUAAUCUGUAUAUGAAAAUUUGAAUAGCUAAAGAUGCUUUGUAAGAGAAUGAAUACCAGAAUGAAACUGAGCUGCUUGUAGUCCUCCUCCAGGAAUUUGGUCUAAGAGAAGCACAUCAUAAAGUUAGGCAAAUAAAAGCUUCACUUCACAUAUGCUACUUAAGAAUACAUAUUUGUGCGUGUCGAAUAAGCAAAUCAAAAGUAAUUCUAAUAUUAUAUCAUCUAUUAAGAACCAAUAAUCAAAAAACGGAAAGAAAAACUGUAAGCUACUUGUAAUUAAUACUGUAUACAUACAUUUUUCCAUGUCUUAUCAAGGACAUCCAUCUGUACGAAAGAAAAAGAAAAGAGAGAUUGAUAAGCUUUAACUCAAAGAUAUAUAUAUAUUCCUUCAAAAAAAAAAAAGAAGAUAUAUAUAUGUGUGUGUAUUUAGUGAUGUUGAAGGAAAAAUAGAGUACUGUUAUGUAAGUAAUUAAGGCAAAAUCUACUAUCCUGUUUGCCACGAACAUAGGUAAGCCCAUUUUCAAGGGCAUCCUCUAUGGCCAUCAGCUCCUUGUAAGGCAAAGAGGUGAUAUCCUCCCCUUUCAAAUGCCUGUAGAAAAAUACUUCAACAACUAAGACACAAAAAAACAUAGAUCCCAAAGAAACAUAUCAUAGAUGGACAAGUGUAGACAUAUAUACCUCAGUUCAAUCUGCAUGUUAUCGUUCUCUUUCUUGAUUCUAUCAAUUUCAUUGCUGAGAUUCUGCAGAGUUUUUGUUUUAAGAGAAGAAAAAUUAUCUCUCACAAAUCACAAGAAAAAUCAUAUUUAGAUAUGAGCUUAUAAUAAAUAUGUUGGUUAAAUUUGUGGUUUAGACCAAGAAACCCUAGAGCUACCAUCAUGAACUAGGUAGAUCUUACAUUGAGAUCUGUUACAUCCAUUAUUGUUUUGUGCCUUAAAACUAACUCCCAUAUAGUUACUUUAAUUUUUACAAAGGAAAGGAAGGUGGAGAAUAACAUUUAGUACUAGAUCUGUUCAUAGAUGUUAUAUAUAUACAUAUAUAUAUAUAUGCAUGAGAGAUAAAGGUCUAAAUUACUAGAUCAUCCCACUUGUGGAUCCAUUUAAGGAAUUCAUAGUUCAUAUGGAAGAAAACUCAGAAAAAACAAAGAAAAGAAACAAACUUGCCUCAUGUUUAGCAUCCCAUAACUUCUUCCCUGAAGUCUUCUGAUAUUGGUCCAAAAUAUCGACCAAACUUCACCAUAUUAGGAUUUUUAUUUUUUUCAAAAAACAGAAAACCAAUCAAGAAGAAAGUACAGAAAAAGGGUGAGAAAAAGCAAGGAGGAAAUAAAGGUUGAUAUACUAUACUUAGUAGAAGGGCUGCAAUACUCGUGCAUCUUGCCAGAACUACCAAAGAUAAUAAGAGAAACUUUAGCAUCACACAGUAUAGUAAUCUCUUUAGCUUUCUUCAUAAUCCCAUUCCUUCUCUUUGAAUAAGUAACCUGCCUGUUACUUGAGUUCUCAAUCCUCUUGAUCUCAAUCUUCCCCCUCCCCAUCUUUCUUUUUCUUCUUUUUUUUUUUUGGUUGGUGCAGAAAAUGAGGUUUGAAGAGAGACAAGUCAUAAAGAGUAAAAAGUAACAGGGAAACAUUCUAUUUCAGGUUUGGAGGACAGGGAACUUUCGAAGUGUGAUAGUAGGGACAUAUUUGUUUCAGGGUUAUUGAUAAGGCCAAGCCAUUUGCCUUUAAAAAACAAAUACAAAUCUGCUAUAUAUUUUUUUUUCUUUUGUUGAAAAGAAAUAUCGAUCUUUUGUGAGUUUAGGUUUAACCUUGUUAACCAUUGGUCUGUAUGAGCCUCCAUGAGACUACAGCUAGUAAUAUAGUAAUAGGUUAAGGAAAGCGUUUAGGGUUAGGGUUUUUGAAAAUGGAAAUUUAGACCAGGCUUGUAGGUAAACAACGAGGAGAAGGGAACAACAAAGAAUUUUGUAGGAUGGCUAUGUUUGACACGCAAAAUGAUAUUUGUUUUGGCUGUUUUAAAAUAAAUUAUUUUAAAUUUUAUAUAAUUAAUAUGAAUAAUUAUUAUUAAAGGUAAUUGCAGUAAAUAAAAUAUUUCGGCAUGGAUUAAAACUUAAUUAAAAUAAUUAAAUUAAAUUUAAAUUAAAUUAGAGAUAAUAUUAAAUAUUUAUAUGAACAAACUACACAUGGGACUGAAAUCCACGUGGUGAGACUAGGGUCUUAACUUUGCUACGAAUUUUGAUUAUAGACCUAAAUUAAAACAGAUAUGAAAAGUAUAAAAAAAUUUAAUAGAGACAAAUUAUAAUAAUAUUUUUUAUCUUUAAAAAUGAUUCUAAUAUAAAUUAUUUUUCAUUUUCCAAUAGUUACAUUAUAUUAUUAUAUAUUUAGAUAAGUACAAAUAUAAAAAAUUUUAAAUAUAAUACAUUAUAAAUUUGAGAAAAUGAAGAACGUUGAAUUCCAACCUAUCCAUUGUUGUGUAUGACCUUCCAAAUAUAUGCUAAAUUAUAAUUGCAAAUUCUGUCACUUUCUAAUUGUUGGAAUAUUUUCAAAUAUUUAUAGUGUUUCAAUAACUAUAAAUGAAUGGGUGUAAUUAAUUAAAAGUUAUAUUAUUUGAUUUUAUGAAAAAGAAUUAUAACUAUUUAAAUAAUAUUAUUUGACUAGUUAUAAUAUUAAAUGAAUAAUUAUAUAUUUAUUUUAAGGACAUUAUUAUUCAGAAAGACACCUAUUGAAAGAUAUCUCUAUGAAGAUACAUGAAAAUUCCUAUAAAUAGAAAUGAAUUUUAUUUGGAAAUCACACCAACAAAUUCUAAUAUUCUUUCUUUUAUUCCUUUAUUUUCCAAUAUUAUUAGAUUAUUCUAUAAAGUAUUACUACAGAAAUCCUUUGUAGAAAUUGAGUUUCUUGUUAUACAUUGCUCAGUGCAUAGUGGACUAUUCUCGUCACUGCAAAACGAAAAUAGUCAUUGGCUCCAUUGUAUACUCGAGGUUAAUUGCUUGGAACUCAUUUGCACACUAAAGAUAGGUGGGGGCGAAUACAACCUUAAAGAUAGUGGCUUGAUACACGCCUUGGAGUCUUGUCCUAUUUCUUUUUUUCUGUUCGAGUUCUGUUCGUAUGUUUGAGAUUUUCCUCACCGGAGAUUUGUACUAACAAUUUUAAGUUUAUAUUUCAUGAUGACUACCAUAACACAUGAAAGUGGAACACUAAGGGAGUUGGCUUCCAACUUUGUCAAACUUGAUGGGUUUGAUGGUGACAAUUUUUGAUGAUGGCAGAAAAAGAUGUACUUCAUAUUAUCAACUUUGAAGAUUGCUUAUGUUUUGGAUACUCCAAGACUUGAAGGGAAUGAAAACAAAUCUGUUGCUGCAACCCGAGAAAGACAAAAAUGGGGCAAUGCUGAUUACAUAUGCAUGGGCCACAUAUUGAAUGGUUUAUCUAAUGGUUUGUUCAACACCUGCCAAAACAAGGUCACCACUAAAGAAUUAUGGGACAAAUUGGAGACAAGAUACAUGAUCGAAGAUGUUACAAGUAAGAAAUUUAUUGUUAGUCGUUUCAAUAAUUAUCAAAUGGUUAAUGGUCAUUCUGUUAUAGAAUAAUUCCGUGAUAUUGAAAAGAUGCUAAAUCAAUUCAAACAAUAUGAUAUGAAAAUGGAUGAAAUGAUUGUUGUAUCCUCCAUAAUAGACAAACUUCCUUCAUCUUGGAAAUACUUUAAAAGAAGUCCAAAACAUAAGAAAGAGGAAAUAUCUCUUGAGGCAUUGGUAAAUCAUCUUGGUAUUGAAGAAGAAUAUCAAAACCAAGAUCAAAACCUAAAUUCUGAAAAUGCCAAAGUACAUGUUAUGGAGGAUGUAUAGACUACUAAAUCAUUCAAGAAAAAGUUCAAACAAACUGAUAGAGCACCUAAGUUCAAAAAGAAACAAAAGGGUUAAUGUUAUCACUGUGGUAAGCCGGGACAUUUCAAGAAUGAAUGUCGAUUUUUAAAGAAGAAAUCAUCUUCUAGGGCUGAUAAUAACAAAAAUUCAUUGCAAUGAUAUCUGCAAUUAAUAUGGCACAAGAUGAUAAUACAUGGUGGAUUGGUACCAGAGCAACCAAAUAUGUGUGUAAAGACAAAAGCAUGUUCACAAAGUUCACACAAUGUGACAAUGAUAGUGUCUUGUACAUGAGAAAUUCUUCCACCGUAGCAAUCGAAGGCAAAUGGUCUGUUGAACUACAAUUCACUUCUAGAAAGAUUUUAACCUUAAAUGAUGUAUAUUAUGUACCAGAAGUUAAGAAGAAUUUAGUGUCUGGAAGUUUAUUGAACAAGUUUGGUUUCAAACUUGUUUUUGAGGUAGAUAAGUUUAUUUUGUCUAAUAGAGGAAUUUUUGUAUGUAAAUGGUAUAUGUAUGAGAGUAUGUUCAAACUUAAUAUUAUUAAUAAGAAUAAAAAUACUAUUUCUGGUUAUAUGGUUGAAUCUUUUUGUUUAUGGCUUUAUAGAUUAGGUCAUUUGAAUUAUAGAAAAUUGAAUGACAUGUAUAAGUUAGAUUUAAUUCUUGUUUUUAAUAAUAAUAUUGAAAAAUGCAAUAGAUGUAUAUUGACUAAAAUUACGAGAAACCCUUUCCCUAAGGUUAAAAGGAAAAUAAAAUUGCUUGUAUUGAUACAUAGUGAUUUAUGUGACAUGCAUAAUACUCCUACAUUAGGUGAAAAGAAAUAUUUUGUUACUUUUAUUGAUGAUUGUUCUAGAUAUUGUUAUGUAUAUUUAUUGCAUUCAAAAGAUGAAGCACUUUGAUAAAUUUAAAGUUUAUAAAUCUGAAGUUGAACUUCAGUGUGAAUCAUUUAUCAAGUGCUUAAGAUCAGAUAGAGGUGGAGAAUAUUAUAAUCUAAGUUAUUUUGAAUCCACUGGAAUUGUCCAUCAAGUUUCAACCUCUUACACACCACAACAAAAUGGUGUAGUUGAAAAGAAAAAUAGAUCUUGACUGAAAUGGUAAAUUCAAUGUUAUCAUAUUCAUGUCUUGGACAAGGUUUUUGGGGAAAAGCCGUUCUAACAGGUUGUCAUAUAUUGAAUAGAGUUCCUAAGAAGAAAACUAAAAUAACCCCCUAUGAACAAUGAAAGAAAAGAAAACCAAACCUUAAUUAUUUAAAAGUUUGGGGUUGUAGAGUUAUUGUCAAAGUUCCAACACCUAAACGAAAGAGGAAUUAGAUUCAUAUUUAUAGGAUAUGCACAUAAUAGCAAGGCAUAUAGGUUCAUGUUAAUUGAACCAAAUGAUUCAAUUUCAAUUAAUAUGUUGCUGAAUCAAGAGAUGCUAUUUUUUAUGAAAAUAGAUUUAAUUUUAUUUCAGGAUAAUUACAGCCACAACAAUUGGUUCAUUCUUCAAAUGAGAAUGAGAUUCCAUUGGAACAAAUCGAUAAUAAUGAUGAAUCUUGUCAAGAAUUAAGAAGAAGCAAGAGGUUUAAAAUGGUCAAAGAUUUUGGACUAGAUUUCUUUAUGUUUCUUGUAGAAGGAAAAGGUGAAAGUAUAUGCAAUAAGAUGCCUUAUUGUUAUAAUACGAAAUCUGAUCCUAUUACAUUUGAAGAGACAAUGAAAUCUCAAGACUCUGCUUUUUGGAAAGAAGCAAUAAAUGAUGAGAUGAAUUCAAUAAUGAGAAAUCAAACUUGGAACUUAGUUGAUCUUUCAUCGGGUUCCAAACCAAUAGGUUGUAAAUGGAUCUUCAAAAAGAAAAUGAAGGUCGAUGGAACCAUUGAUAAAUUUAAAGCAAGGUUGGUAGCCAAAGGUUUUACACAAAAACAAGGUAUUGAUUACUUUGAUACCUAUGCUCUAGUAGCAAGAGUUGCUACAAUUAGACUCUUAAUAUCACUCACCUUUAUAUAUAAUUUCGUUGUUCACCAAAUGCAUGUUAAAGCUGCAUUUUUAAAUGGUGAAUUGGAAGAGGAAGUGUACAUGGAACAACCAGAAGGAUUUAUUGUUCCAGGACAAGAGCAUAAGGUAUGUAAGCUUGUUAAAUCUUUAUAUGGACUUAAACAAGCACCAAAACAAUAGCACCAAAAGUUUGACAAGGUUGUUUUAGCUAAUGGCUGUAAAAUAAAUGAAUCCAAUAAGUGCAUAUAUAGCAAAUUUGAAAAUGGAAAAUAUGUCAUAAUUUGCUUAUAUGUAUAUAACAUGCUCAUUUUUGGCACGGAUUUAGAACAAAUAGAAAACUUGAAAAAAUUCUUGUCAAACAACUUUGCUAUGAAGGAUAUGAGUGUAGCAUAUGUUAUUCUUGGGAUUAAAAUAACCCGAGAUGAAAGCACUAUAGCUUUAUCAAAAUCACAUUACAUUGAAAAGGUGCUUAAAAAUUUUUAUCUUUUCAACUGUAUACCAGCAUCUACACCCACGGAUCCUCAAAUAAAAUUAGUAUCUAAUACUGGUAGGAAAAUUGAUCAAUUGAAAUAUACAAGUCUAAUUGGUUGUCUUAUGUACAUAAUGACUUGUACAAGACUAAAUAUUACAGAUGUUGUUGGGAAAUUGAGUAGGUACACAAGUAAUCCAAGUAGUUUGCAUUGGCAAGCUUUGAAUAGCGUACUUAGGUACGUAAAGAAAACUAUUAACUAUGUAUUGUGUUAUAAUGGAUAUUCUCCAGUUUCGGAAGGGUAUUCGAAUGCUAGUUGGAUUACAAGUUUGGAAGAUCAUGUAUCUACUAGUUGAUGGAUCUUUAUUCUUAGUGGAGGAGCCAUUUCUUGAGGUUCCAAGAAACAACCAUGUAUUACUGAUUCCACCAUGGCAACAAAAUUUAUUGCAUUAGCCAUUGUAUUUAAAGAAGCAGAAUGGUUAAAAAAUUUACUUUAUGAUGUACCUUUAUGGCCUAAGCCAGUUUCGCCUAUUUUUAUCUGUUGUGAUAGUGAGGCUACUCUAGUAAAGGCAUAUAGCCAAGUAUAUAAUGGAAAGUCUAGACACAUUGGAUUAAGACAUCGUUAUGUCUGACAAUUAAUCUCUGAUGGAGUGAUCACUAUUUAUUAUGUGAGGUCAAGUAAAAAUUUGGCGGAUCCUUUGACAAAAAGUCUUGCUAGAGAUGUAGUAAAAAGGACCUCAAAAGGGGUGGGACUCAAGCCCAUUAAUUAGAGUCACCCAUGAUGGAAACUUGACUCAACGCUUAGUAUAACGUUAAGUCUUGAGUUCAAUGAGACAAAGUACAUCAUUAGUAUGUGCCUGUUGACACUAUAAAUAAAUCCAUCCUAAGAUUAAAGUGCUAGGUAUCCGUAAUGAUAAGGGAAGAAUGAGUAAUGUACUCUUAAUGGACCCAUAACAUAAAUAUGUUAGAGUGUUAUAAUUACGGGAACACUCUUGAUGGGAUCUACCUAUGUGAGUGGAAGUGUAGCCGUUUCUUGGAGCUCAAGGGCUUGGCUCUAGCAGCACUUAUGAAAGAGGACACAGACACAUGGCCAUAACAGUGUCCCUAGAUACUAUGCAUUGACCGAUGUUGAAAUCAUUGUGUGAGAGGUGUUCAGUUAAUCAAAUGGAAUAGUUGGUUCAAAGCUUAGUCUACCAUGCAAUUUCAAUUAAUUUUAACAUGUUUUCACUAAGUGAAUGUUCAAUUGUAAGAUACCUUCAUUUAUGCAAAUUGAUUUCCAAGAAUAUCAAAAUCUAAAAUAUUUUGAAAAUGGAGGGAGAUUGUUAGAACAUUUUCAAAUAUUGAUAGUGUUCCAAUAACUAUAAAUGAAUGGGUGUAAUUAAUCAAAAUUUAUAUUUUUUUAUUUUUGGAAAAAGAAUUAUAACUAUUUAAAUAAUAUUAUUUGAAUAGUUAUAAUAUUAAAUGAAUAAUUAUAUGUUUAUUUUAAAGAUAUUAUUAUUUUCAGAAAGACACCUAUUGAAAGAUGUCUCUAUGAAGAGACAUGAAAAUUCCUAUAAAUAGGAAUGGGAUUUUAUUUUGAAAUCACACCAACAAAUUCUAAUGUUCUUUCUUUCCUUCCUUCAUUUUCUAAUAUUAUUAGAUUAUUCUAUAAAAUAUUUCUACAGAAAUCCUUUGUAGAAAUUUUCUUGUUAUACAUUGCUUAGUGCGUAGUGGACUAUUCUCAUCAGUGCAAAUCGAAAAUAGUCAUUGGCUUCAUUGGUAAUUUGCUUGGAACUCAUUUGCACACCGAAGAUAGGUGGGGGCGAAUAUAACCUUAAAGAUAGUGGCCUGAUACACGUCUUGGAGCCUUGUCCUAUUUCUUCUUUUUCUGUUCGAGUUUCGUUCGUGUGUUCGAGAUUUUUCUCAUCAGAAAUUUGUACUAACACUAAUAUAACAAUUACGAUAUAUAAAUUAAAGUAAAAUAAUUUUAUAAUUCAAGUUAUAGAAAUUAUUUUUAUUAGAAUAUCCUUUUAAAAAUGAGAUAUUUUGGAUUUGAAUCAAUUUUUAUUCAAUUAAUUUUAAAUUUGAGUGGAACAUAUUUGAAUUAUCAAUUUUUUAUGAUUAAAUUCAACCAGAUUAAGGUGCAUUUAACUUUCUUUUUGUUUCACGCUACAUUAUUUAAUCUCACCGCCACCGCUGUUUUUACACUUCCGCGUGUACACACUCCGUCCAUCCAAAGGGGCCCUAAAUUUAGAUUUGGGUCGAUGUUAAAAAAAAUCAUAAGUUUAAGAUUAUAAAGAUAGGUAGAGAGUAUGAAAUACAACAAAUUAUAGGGUUGAGGGCUUAACUCACAAUUUACCCGCUAGUGUGAAAAACAAAUUAACAAACAACGCUUUCAUAUUUUAUUUUACUAUUGACUUUGACCGCUAACAACUUAAGCUAGAAAAAGGCAAAAACAUGCAGUUUGACCACCGCCGGCCAAAAUAGAUGGUUCAAUAACCAACCAAACCCUUUAUAACAUCAGGUCCAAUAUGUCCAAACGCCAUUGUUUUAGACAUUAUCAACAUGGGAGACUCCCACCUUCCAGAAAGGAACUCAGUGCUGCCAAACACUCACCAGUCUUUUCGGCAUUGGAAUUAGCCAGCACCUUAAAGAGACCUCCAUUUUUGAGUUACCAAAUCCACUCAGAGUUUGUAAGGGUAGUCUCAUCUCGCCACACAUGGUUAUUUAGCACCAGGAUACGCUCACUGUGGACAAAUAACAGAGAAAACUGAUGCUUGUAGCUUUGGUCAUGAGCGAGAGAAAGUACUUGACACGUCAAAUUCAUCAUAUUUGUUGAAGCGUGGAAGAAAUUUUGGAUGAAUCAAUAUAUAAGAGAAAAAAGGGCCUAGAGGGGUGAUGGAAAGGUUUGGUCGGGUUGGGAUUCUUUGCGCUCAUGGAAAAUUGUGGAGGCUCUCAAGAUGUUAGAGGGUGAUAUAGUUACCAGACAGGCCAUUGCCCCUCGCUCAUGAGUCCUUCACCUCAUCUUUGGGAAGUAAUGCAUCUAAAAGUAAUAAUAUCCCAACAUUAUGUCACUAUUGUUAUUGCGUCGUCUCUGUUUUUUUCAUGCAAUAAUUGGGCUUACAGCUGCGAUUAUAAGUCCAUUAUAUCUUGAGCAUGUUCUUAGUAUUAGGUUCUAGUAUGAGCUCUUCUUAAUACCAGCUUAGUAUGAGGUACAACUUCCUUAAUAAGUUAUUGGUUUUAAAAAUAUUUUAACAUUUUAAGUAACAUUUUAUGUAUUAAGUUACUUAAUUUCUUCUUAGAAACUUUUUAAUGUUUUAUGUAUGAAGUAAUUAAGUAAUUCAUAAAUAAGAAAUUACUAAAUCAUAGGAAAUUAUUUAGUACAUGAAAAAUUUUGUUUUUCUAUUUGUCUUGAAUGGAUGAAAAAUAAUAUCUAUUUUAUUAAACCCAAGAUGCAAUCGCUACUUGAAAUUUAACUUGUCAAUAAAAAACUUAAAACUUCUCGAGAGACAUAUCUAUGAAAUUUAAAUUUUAAAUAUAUUAACCAAGAAAUAAACAUUAAACUUGUGAAAGAUAGAACUUUAAACUCGCUUAAAAACAUGCAUCUUCCACAAUGUGAAUAUUGCUUGGAAGCUAAAAUGACCAAUAGGCCUUUUAAUCCCAAAGGCACGAAAAGGCUACUCAACUCUAAGAACUUGUGCACUUGUGCAUACCGAUACAUGUGACCUCAUGAACAUCAAUGCACAAAGAGGCUAGGAUAAAGAAUAGAUGAUUAUUCCAUAUAUGGAUAUGCUUACCUAAUACACAGCAAUAGUGAAACUUUUUGAAACAACCCAAUUUGCAGGAUUAUUUAUUGGAUGCUCCUAACAAUGGUCUCGGUGAGAUGAGGCUACUUCUUCAUCAGCCGGGGCCAUUUUAUUUUGAAGGAGAUUUCAGAUUGCUUGUGGUCCUUGUUGUCGUUGCAGUUGUUCUUGCAUUAUUUUCAUUUUUUCUUGGAGUUCAAUGAUUUUCUUGGAGUUUGAAAUGAGUUGGGUGUAGUUUGAUCCUCGGGUGUAGGGUAAAGUGAAAUUCUUGAUGUUGGUGGAGAAGUUUUUUUCGGGGGUUGCUAUAGUAUUUCCACCGAGGAGAGGGUUCCUUUGAUUGUAUGGGUCUGAUUAUUAAUGUAAAAUUGUAGGAGGGGAAAAGGGAUCUAAGAAUAGGGCUAUUGAAGAAGGUUCACAUAAAAUUCCCUUUGUGUCAAAAUCGUAGAGGGGAAGGAGAUAGUCCCUUUCCUUGGUAAGUGGGAAUGUAUAUAUACAUACUCCUUGGACAGUCUUAUCAAUUCAUAGGAGAUUAGUCAUGUUAGGAUUUGUUUCCUAAGUCACGUGUCACCUAACACCGUCAAAGUUUGUAUGAAAAUUCAUAUAUACCAAAUUUAUAUAUCAAAAUUUUCUUAGCAUUUUUAAAAUAAUUUAGUAAUUUAUAUGUUUUCAUAUUCAAAUUUAAAUAUAUCAACAUAUUCAACAUUUAAAUUUUUUAUUAUUUUUAAUUAAUUAAUUAAUUUUGUAAUACUGAAAUUUAUAAAAUUAAAAUUUAAUCUAUAUAUUUAAAAAAUAUGCAUUUUAUUUUUGUAGUUAAAAAUACAAUUAGAAAGCUAUUUUAAAAUUUUUUAAUAUUAGAAUUGAUAUGUGCAUAUUAGUAUGAAAUGUACAUAGAUUGCCGAGCGAGUUAUCAUGUCAACAUUGUUAAAAAAUAAUGUUUUAGUCAAUAUUUUUCUUAAAAAAAAAAGCGAUUUGACUCUUUCCAAAAAGUUGAGUGUCAAAUUUAAUUAAAAUAAAAAAAUAUAUAAGAGUCAAAUUGAUUAAAAAUAUAAACAUUAGAAGCUAAAUUUAGCAUUAUGCCUUCUAAAAUGGAUUAAUUUACUCCCGAAUUUAAUCUUUUUCUCUAGUAAGAGGCUACAGUUUUACUUUCUUAAUAAAUGAUAGCGUAUUUAACAAAGGAAAAAAAGUUUUUAUGUUAUUGACAAACAUGGAAUUAAAAUGAAUUUUAAUGUUAAAUUAUAUUUUUGUUAAAAAAUUAUAAACAUUAUUAGUUAAAAAUAGGACUCAUUGAUUAUUUUAAUAUUAUAAUUGGCGAGCUGUCUAUUAAAGAAAAAUGUAAACCCUUCCCAUUAGAAAAUUGCCAUAUUUGAGUAUGUAUUUGUAAUAAUAUAUAUUAAGUCUAAUCUACGUUGUUUAUAGAAUUGACUGAUCAAUCAUAUCAAAGAACUAAUCAAAAUAUCUGUAAUAGGCCCAAUUCGCCCGGGCCCAUACAAAACCAAAAACCAAAAAAUAAAAACAAAAACAAUGAACAGCCCAGAAUAAGUCAAUAUCCAUUUACAAGUUAUUUAACCCAAAAAAUAUAUAUACAGUCCAGCCCAGAUACAUUUUUUAAAACCCAAUUGCAUAAAUCCUAAACCCAAUUAAUUAAUAACCCAAAGUCUCAGCCCAUUCAAUACAUGACCCAAAGACUGGUCCAGGUGAUUGUUUCAGAAGCUCUAAGGGUUCUCCCUCUCGCGCAGCAGCCAGUAAUUCGGAUGAGCACCACACGUGCGCCACCAGCCCCUCGCGCGCGUCUCCGCUCGUGCUUGUGUACGGCCUUUCCUGUAAAUGGAACAUACGAGAAGGAGAAUGACAGAAUCUACAACAAAUAACAGCAAUAAAAUGUAAUUUUAUUUUUUGAUUUUACUUUGUAAAUCCGGCUAUAAAAGCCGACGAAUGUACCUGCAAAAAACUUACGCAUACUACGCAUACUGAAAUACACAAGGUGAUUUCCAAUUCAAGAUCUCUAAAUGCUUUAUUUUCUUUGAUUUCAUUUUUUUGGAUUUGUGGUUCUUGUAUUCGAAAGAAAAACAAGAAAAAGAAAAAAGGGAAAGGAGCUUACCUCGUAAAUACGCCGUAGGUCUUCUUCUACUUUGUUGAAAUCGAAGUCAGGAGGAGAUCUUGAGGCUAAAAAUUUCGUCCUCUAAGCUUCAAUGUGCAGAUUGUUGUUUGGGGGAUGGGAAUCGGUGGUUUGAAGUGGGGAUUUAGGGGUUGGCUAAAGUAUAGAAAAGGGGCUAGGGUUAUUGGCUGUAUGUUUAAGUUUUAGCCCUUAUAAUUUCAAUUCCGUUAGGUUAUUUUAUUUCCUUUUCAUUUUGAAUUUAUUUUUAUUAAAUUUUCUAUUUAUAUAAUUCAUUGUUUAAAGGAAAUUCAUUUAAUAAUUUUGCUUUGUUUAAAAAAAAUCAUUGUUUUGAAGUUUAUAAUAUAUUAUUUUAAUAUUAUGUAUAAAAUUUUAUUUAAACAUUUAUAUAUGUAUAUACUUAUGCACACCUAAUCUUUUAAUCAAGCUCUCCAUUUGAAAUAAUUAUUAUUUUAAAAUUCAUUUAAUAUUUUUAUCAAUUUUAUUAAUUUUGCUUUGUUUUUUUAUUCAUAUAAUUAUUUUGAAGUUGGUUUUAUUAUAUUAUAUAAUGUCUCAUUUAAAUAUUUUUUUGUAUAUUUGUACAUAUAAUAUUUUAGUGGUUAAAUUAUUGUUCUAAAAUUCAUAUUUUUUGUUUAUAAAAUUAUUGUUUUUGAAACUCUUUAUACCAUAUUCUUUUAAUAUAUUAUCUCAUUUAAAUAUUUUUAUAUAUAUUUGUACAUGUAUAGCAAAAUUAAUUUAAUCUUGUAUGCAUUUCCAUGUUUUUUUUAUAAAUAAUUAUUUCUAAAUAUAUAUAUGUUUUGAAAAUCUAUUAUGUGUAUUAUAUCUUAUCAUGUAUUUUUACUAUUCUUUCAUAUUUUAUAUAUUAUUUAAGUUAUUGUGUAUAUUGUCAUUUUUAAAAUGAAUUUUCGUUUUAAAAUAUUUUGCAUAUUAUUUGAUUCAAAUAUUUUAUUCUAUAAUAUUUAUUUCAAUGAUUAUAUAUAUCCCUAGUUUUUUACAUAAAUUAUUUCAAAUUCAACAAUUCAUUUUUAAUAUAUUAUGUGUUCAUCAUUUUAAAUUUGUCUUAUACAUAUAUAUAUAUGUAUGUAUAUAUAUAUUUUAAAUUUUCAUUUUGUUUUGUAUAUUUUGCAUUUGAUUGUGUUGUAUUAGGUUAUGUAUAUUAUUGUUAUAUAUUAUUUUCAUUUUGUAUUACUAUUAUAUUGAUUAUUCUUCGUCCAUACUUGGGAAAUUGGCUAUAUUUUUUUUAGAUUGGUUGGAUUUAAUUGUUUGUUUUGUUAGUUGAUUAAAUAAGUUAUAUUAUCUUCAAUCAUCAAGUAUCACAUUUUUAUGCAUGUACAUUAUCCCAUGAUAAUUAUUUUUUCUUUUGGCUUACAAAAUGUUGCCUUAUGAUUUUCUUUUUUUAAAAUCCAUUAUUCUAUUUUAUUUCAAAUAACUUUGAGAUAAUCUACAAUCAUUUAUUUAAACUUCUUUGUUAAAAACAAGGUAAUAUUCAAUCUUUAGAAAUUUAAGAAAAUGUGCCCUACCGUGCUGGGUACGAUUUUUCGUAGAACUAAAUAUCUGGAUAUCCUUUUAUAAUUUUUAACCUAAAAGUUUUUGAAAGUCAAAAAUCAAUCAUAUUUUUGAAGGUAUAAAAGAUCGUGUCCAAUCGUACUGGAUAUGAAACUGCAUACCUUUGAAAUGAGAGAAUUUUGACCAGCUUGAACCACCCCAAUGUUUUAAAAAGGAACCAUAUUUCAAAAUUUUUUCUAAAAUCCUAGACAUAAGGACAACAUUUAAUUAAUCUGGUACCAAUUUUUUGGGCAUAGUGAGGGUACCAAAAUUGUUUUAAAUAGGAAUAAAAUGAUUUAUUGGGUGAUCCAAUCAUACUUUAACAAAAAGAUUGGUGGCGACUCCACAUUUUGCUUUAAAAGUCAAUCCCUAAUUUUUUUUUUUAAAAAUAGUUUCGACAAUAUCAAUUCAAAAUAUCAACUUUGAUGGGCUGGUAUCAAUUAGUAGGUAAAGUGUUUCUAUUGGAAGAGUGUUAAGGGACUCGAAUGCAAACUGGUUAUAGGCUUAUACGAUGAGCUUCGAUAAAGAAUCAAUUUUUAAAGUUGAGACAAGAGUGAUAUUGGCAAGCCUUUUCAUAGUUUGGGAGAAAAGAUUCAAAAAGGUUGAAGUAAAGAGUGAUAAUGCAUUGUUGGUAGAAUUUAUUUGUCUAGUGGAGAAGCCAAUAGUAGCUUAGUGGAAUUGAGGUUAUUGCAUAAGUUGUUGCGUCGAAAAUGAGAGGUACGAGUUUGACAUAUUUUGGGAGAUCAGAAUGGGGUUGUGAAUCACAUGAUUAAAUGUGCUGACACAAAAAAUUCUUUGCUCCAUUUGUUUGUAAUUCCAUUGAAUUCGAUUCUUUAAUCAUAAUAAAUCUAAAUCAUUUUAAUUUAUGAAUUGAUAUUUUUGUAAUCGCUUAAUACGGUUUCUUUUAAAAAUAGAAAUAAAAAUAAAAGAUUUUAUCGGAUUAAGCUGGAAUAAAAAUUUAGUAAGUUGAUAAAGCAAUCGACUGGUUGCUUAAAUGCAAAGAAUCAUCUGUUGAUUUGCGGUAAUUCCUUGAUUUUCAUCCGUUCAUGUCGUCAGAAAGCAAUCAAAUCACUACUAAACUUGAUUUCUUAUACAAAUAAUUACUUGAUGUGAAAAAACAUAAAAUAGUAGAAUAAGAGAUUGGGAAUCCCCCCAAUUAUGGGAGAUUCUUCUCUAAAAAUCUCACUUUUCAACUCUCUAAAACUCCAUAAUUACCCUGGAGUAGUAAUCAUGAUCAUAAAAGAAUGAACAUAAAAUUAGGCAGAGAGACAAAAUUUACUAUACUAACAACUCUUCCCGGCCCUACCACUCACGAGGACCUCCUAAAGCCUUCCGCUUGUCCUCCCUUCACUUGUCACCACCGCCGCAUAACUUCCAUCUCUCAUCACGGAUUUACAUUUUUAUGACCUUUUAUGCAUAUAAUAAUAAUAAUAUCUAUUUUUAUAUUAGAGUUGUAUCACUCAAGUUUAAUUUCAUUUGAAGAAUUUAAUAUGUAAUUAAUUUGUUAAAAAAUUAAAAUAGAGGGACAAAAUAGGAAAUUUGUGGGGCAAAGAAUAAAGGAUUAUGUCGCACAAGUUGAAUCCGUAUAAGAUUAUAUUUUUUCUAUUAGACAUUAGUGAAAAAUUAUCCGUGAUUUUUUUAAUAAAAAAUUUUACUUAAAAUUUACAUAUUUUUUUUCUUUCUUAUAGUUUUGCGAUUAUUCUUACUCUCAUUAUCGAUAAUAUAACACUGUGAUUCUUAGUUUGGUUUGUGAAUUUUUUUAGUUUAUAUAUAAUAUUUUUCAUCGUGGAAGAAUAAAUAAUAGUAGACUAGAGAUUCUUAGUGCUUGAAAUGAUACAUUAAUUCUAUAAUAAUUAUUUUGAUCUACAAUUUUUAGCAAUCUUAUUAGCCUUGAGAUUGAAGCUAAUAUUUUUCACUAACAAGUUUACUUUACUAAUCAGUUUUGGCUAAUAAUUACUUCAAUAAAUAUAACUUUUACAUGAUAAAAAAAAUAUAGAGGUAGUGAUUAAAUUAUGAAUAAAUUUUCGUUUUUGGUCAUUUAAUUAAAAAAAUUAUAAUUUAGUUAUUAAAUUAUUUAAAUUUUUUAUUUAAGUUAUUGGAUUGUUAAUUUAAAAAAAAAAUGUUUCACCAAACAAGCUUCAAGAGACAAUUAGACGAUCGGUACGGUGGAUUAGUAUCCAUCAACAGGUAGAAAAGCAUACCUUAGAUCCAAGUUAAGAUGAUGGUUAAUGUCGAAGAUUGGAGAACAAAAACUAUUUGAAUUUUAGUUCAUAAAUUUGUGAACGGUAAAAGAGAAAAGGAAAGAGAGUUUCGAUUGGUAUAGGGAAUGUUAACAAAGAAAGCCAUAUAGCAUCAAUUUUAACAAUUCAAUUACUUAAAUGAAAAUUUUUAAAUAGUUCAGUGAUCAAAUUAUAACUUUCUUUAAUUAAGUAACCAAAACGAAAACUUUAUCCUUGGUCAACCUAAAAAAAAUCCUGGUUAACAUAGCAGUUUCUCCAGUUUUUAGUUUUUAAUAACACCAAAAUUGGGGACAUUUUCACCGAUUGAACUGUUCUAUGUUCUAUUGCUCUUUCUGGCUGGUAAUUGCUUUUUCAAGGAUCUCCACUAGAUAUUCAACAAUUUAAGCAUCGAGUAACACUUUCAAAUUGCUAGCUUUAAUUGUAUGAUAAAAGUUCAUGCUAUUCUAUUCUAUUCUAUGCUCAAAGUUGUUCAUUUUGCAAUGACUGAUGGGGAAAGUUACAAGUUCAAAUUGUAAAACAUUGACCCCAUUUUGUUGAACAAUACAGGGAAAAAAAAGAAGAAGAGAAGAAACUGCUUAGCAGUAGUGGUAAGUAACAACAACAAAUCUGGCUUCAUGAACAUGAAGUAGAACUUUUUUAACCUAUAAAGAUUAUUUUCCCUUGCUUUUUAAACUGUUCAAUCAUGAGUUGUCUGAUAUGAGCUCAAUUCAACUUGAACUAGUAGGCGGUGGAGAAGGGCGUAUAUGACUUGAGAUCAAGAAUAACCCCUGCAAUAGAACCAGCAGCAGCAGCUAUUGUGAUAAUAAGGCAAGCGAUGCUGAGAAUCUGGAGGCAAAGCCAUCUUGUGCUCCAUUUUGCUAUCUUGUUUUGAGAAAUGUACAUCUCUACUGGGAAGUAAACUGUGAGUGGCCAGAAUCCAAUAGCCCCAAGUAGUCCAACAAUAUCAUUAAAGAAGGGAAGAAGCAUGGAGAUCAAAGUUGUUAGCAUCACAAAAAUUGUCCUCCAAACCAAACGAAAGAAGUUGAGAUUGUAAGGGCGAAAGCCGGGAAUGGGGAUCUUGAUGUCUUUGGUUAUGAAUUCACUAUCUGGAAACCUUUUAGCUGCUGAUUUCUCAAUGAAGGCAAAAAGGGGUUGGCAGUAAACUUGGUAUGCACCAACAAGGUGAAUUACAAUGGCAGCAUUAGCAAUGUCAAGGAGCCAGAAUGGGUUAUAGAAUCCAAAACCGGUUAGAAGGUUCCCGGGGGACAAGUCCCCGAAAGCAGCAUAGCCCAUGCAACCACACAACAUGUAGAAAAGUGUUGUCACUCCAACACUUAACAAAGUUGCCUUGCUCAUUGUCUUUGAUUCGGAUGGUGGAGCCUUAAGUGUGUCCUAUACAAGUAUCAUACUGUUAUUGGAGGUAGAUAAAUUGGACAAAAUGAAGUUACAUACCUGAAUUUCAAUGAGUAUGAGGGAAUAAGAAUAGGCAAAAGCCAUGUCUCCAAGUGCCUGGAAGCUCCUCCAUAUUUUUUGUGUUUGAGUAACAGUUCCAACACUUAUACCAGUCAGGCUUCCCCUAAUUUUUCCAUUCUCUGGUAAAUUAACCAAACAUUAGGUUGCAUGCAUUGUAAGUGUGUAAAAGAAAGCUGUGAAUACCUGCUACUUUAGCAAUUCCAAGUCCAAGUCCAAUUGUUGAGUAAGUGAAGGACAUGACAGCAGCAACAAUGGAAAGCCACCAUAAUUGAUCAAAGUCAGGAAUUUGAGAGAAAAUGAUUUCAGCAAUGCCAAAACCAAUCAUAUAGGGGUUGCUAUUCAUAUGACAUGGAUUUUUGCCACGGCUUGCAUGGAAGCAAUUAGACCUUUUUAUAGCCCUGUUAUAAUACCCGUUAGCCCCCAAACAAACGCAAGUAAAGAAGAAGCAAACAUGUUCUGGCUGGAACCCUUGUGUUCAGGAACUCACAUCAUGCUAAUUGAUGAUGCAAUUGUGUAUCCAAUGGCAACUCCAAAAAGGUUCAAGUAUUGAACCCACCCACAUAUCUUCACUUCAAACGCACCUGAAAAAACAAAAAGGUUAAGUUUACAAGUUUAGGAAGAAUCCUCCCAUUUUGUUAAUGCAAUCGAAAGUUUCAUUUUAGUCUACCAAGAUUUGCUCUGACAGCUUCCAUGUAGGUAUAGUUUCUCUUGCCAUUAACAGGGUCAUCACAGCGGUAACAAGCAGCAAGAAGAGUAGAGGUGUAGUAAGUUACAAAAGAGAACAAAAAUAUAACUGCUGGACCAGCUAUCCAUCCAAGCUGGGCAGUGGCCCAAGCCAGGGACAGGACGCCAGAACCAAUCACAGCCGUAAUAAUAUGAGCACUUGCCGUCCAUACAGUUCCUGGCACAUGAAAAGAACAGUGACAUCACAUAAGCAAAUGUUUGGUGCAAAGGGAUGUUGCCAUAAACUUGGUGGAAUUUACCAGUUCGCUUGAGUCUGCCAUCGUCAUCAAAGCCAAUGGGGUGGUCAAAAACCAGGUUGUUGUGAAGGUGAUUUUUGACAGCACCCUUCUCUCCCAUCUUUGCUAAGUGACACAAAAAACCAACAAAUGGAUAGAGAGCAAGGAAGAGAGUGUUGCAGGAGCUGGUGAGUUAAAGAAGAAAAGAGAAUAGGCUGGUGAGGAAUGAAGAAGAAGAAUGAAGGGAGUGGAGUAUAUAUAACUGCUGUGGGUUGUCCAUAUGACACACACAACCUUAAACUAAACUUUCCAUUAUUACAAAAAGUCUGUAAAAUUAAUGAAAUAAUCUUUAUAUGUCUUUAAAGGACCACCUCUGGUUCAGAAAUUCUGUUGUCCUCCAUCCUUACUGAAGGGGAAUAAGGUUCCUUUACAUAAAUUUUCUUUUAUCCAUGAUCCAAGAAUUGAAUAUAAAGUGAAUAUCAAUAAUAAUAGCAAUCAACUAAUGACAGUCAAAUGCUUUUAUAAUGAUUCUAAACCGUAAACAAGGCUCCACCGCCCCUGGAAAAAAACCAUAUCAGCCUGCCAAUGGUGGGUGGACAGUCAGUAUCUAAUUCCCGUUUUAGUUCCCAAUGAAUGAGGAGAGAAAGGUCAUUAGCACAAAAGAAAUUAACCAUUUACUUAGCAUCUUUGAAAACAUUUUCAUUUCCUUUUUUCUGUUUGCCAUAAUCUUUCCCAAUGAAAACACCCUUCAUUUUCUCAGGAAAAUAGGACGCUUUUUUGACAUUUUCAUAACCUUGCCUUUACUCAAAUUAAAACAAUAUCGACGGUUAUACUUACAUUCACAUGCUUUACCGUUCAAAUUUGGCACUUAACUAGUUUUAACAACUAUUAAUGUAGUUUUGAUUUCACCAAAUAUUUUUAAAUUGACAAAAACAAACAUGUUUGUCUUUAUCUUUCCACAAACAUUUCACCAUGAUUAUCAUGUAUGAGGACAAUUCCAUCCCAUGGCUGCAAAUUUUGUUGUAAUUAGAUUUCACUCAGUGUUGUAUGAACGAGACUAAAUCCGGAAUCAAUUGGGGUUUGGAGAGUGGCUUUAAAUUGUUAGAUCAGAAAUCGGUAUAAAUCGAUUGAAUUGACUAAAAACCAGUUGAAUUGUUUUUUUAUUUAAAUGAUUUUUUAGUUGAAUUGCUCGAACUGACAAACUCGUGACUUGACCGAUUUGAACAUUGGUCCGGUUUAAAAAAUAUUUGAUUCACUUGUUGAACAUGUGUAAUAAAUUAAUAUCAUAUUGAAUGAAACUAUUUAUGUUACUAGUUGGACCGUUAGUUGCAACUCCCCUUUGAACCUAACAAUAUGCACCUUACCUUAUUUGUUGGCAAUUUUUGGGGUUUUUUACACAAAUAAUAUAAAAAAAAUUAAUUACAAAAAAGGUAUAGAAAAUAGAAUAAUUACAAAAAAGGUAUAGAAAAUAGAAUAAUUACAAAAAGAGGCAUUUGCUAUAGUGUUCUGACGGUGCUGCUUGACAUAUUGGCAGCACCAAACUAAAAUGUGAUGAUCUAAAAACUCUAGGGACCUUAUAUGAAAUUUUCCGUUUUAAUUAGGUGCUAAAAAACACUUCAAAGUUGCCACUUGAGCCGCACCAAACUUUAAAAGGAUAAAUUGCACCCUAAACCCCCCUUAUUUAUUAUUAUUUUUAAUCCUCUUUUAACAUCAAAAGUAGAUUGGCCUCUCAUCUAUUAGUCUAAAAAGUUUUUCUAUCAAAAAGUAUUUUUGUAAGUAAGCCGAUUCCAACUAGAAAUAAUUUUUUUUUUAAAAGUAUUUAUAAUUUUAUUAUCAAUUCGAUUUACGGGCACUAUAUAAAAUUAUAAUUAUAAUUAUAAAAGUUUUAGAAAAAUAUUAUUAUGUAUAGAUUAUAAUUUUUAGUUAAAUUUAUAGUUUCCAAAUAUAAUGAGAGCAAAAGAAAACUACUAUAAAUACCGUUAUGUCAAACAUAAUUUGAACAAUAAAAAUAUUUUUUAAAAAUUAAAUAAAAUUUAUUUCGAGUUGGAAUAUGCUUACUUACAAAAAUACAUUUUGGUAAAAAAAAAUUUUAGACUAAUUAAUAAAAGGUCAAUCUAUUUUUAGUGUUAAAAGGAGAAUAAAAAUUAAUAAAAAACUAAGGGGUUUAGGGUGGAAUUUACCCUUUUAAAAUUUGGUGCCGCCAUACUGUGAGCGGCACCCUUCAAGCGUCUUUUCAGCUGCCAAUUAAAAAGGAAAAGUAUCAUAUAAGGUCCCUAGAGUUUUUAGAUCAUCACGUUUUAGUUUAAUGCCACCAAUAUGUCAGACGGCACUGUCAGAAUACUGUAACAAAUGUCUAUUUUCUUAAUUAUUCUAUUUUCUAUACCUUUUUCGUAAUUAAUUAUUAUUUUUAUAUUAUUUAAAUAGAAAAAUCCCAUUUUUUGACAUGCAUAAUUAUUCACUUACAUCUUUUUUUAUUUAAAUAAUAUUUUGAGUAGCAAUCUACGAGGCUAUGAUUGAUGAAAUUAUUUAAUCAAGCAAGGUGUUUUUGAAAGAGUAUUAGCAUGAUCUAUUUACCAUAUUUGAAGAGAAAUUGGUUUUGAAGAAAUAUUAAGAAAAUACAUCUUUUUACUUCAUGUUUUUCAAAGCACUUAAUUGGGAGAAAUUGAAGGGGCAUUGAUCAAUCAUAUUAGCUAAAGAUUCAUAAGCUCAAUAUUGCCUAUACAUCAAAGACUUGUUUAUUGGUUUAUGUAUGAAUUUGACAGAGCACUAUGUUCAACAUAGGGACAUGUUAAAGUGCAAAUUAUUUAUAAACAAACAGUUUUUGUUUAGUUUGAUAUUAUGCUUUUAAGGGGGAAAGAUUUAAUGGAAGAGUGAAUCUAAUUGAAGGUAUAGGAGUGAGGUUGCAAUAUGAUAAGUAAGUUGAACUUAAAUCACAUCUUUUACUAUUAAUUCAUAGUAGCUACUCACUUGGCAACGCUUCGUAGAUGCAAGAAAGGGUUUCGAGCUGCAUAACAAAUUUUCAUGUCCAUUAUCUUCAAUUGCAACCCACAAUAUAAUCAACCUAAAACUCAACACUAACAUUUGGCGUUAGAGCUAGACAUCAGAAGAAUUUAGUGAAGAUCUUACUGUUGAAUUGCUAAAAGAUGGAAGGUAGCUCGAUUUCGAAAUCCCCUAUGCUUAAUGGCUCCAACAACUCCUAUCUAAAAUUGCGAAUUAGAGUAUCUACAGUCUCUAGAUAAAAAGGCAUGGAGGAGAGCAAUGCUUACUAGUUGUGAGCUUAGACCAUACUUGAGAAAAUACAUAAAAGUACCUUUAUUGUCAAACAGUUCAAACUUUAUAAAUUAAUGACCAAAUUUGUAACUCUCAAAGCGCUUGAAGAUAAAUCAUUAUCUAAUUUUUAUGCAAAAUUACGGGAAAUCUCUAACCAAUCUUUUGCUCUUGGAGAGGAGUAUGCCAAUACCAAGUUAGUUUGCAAGGUUUUGAGUAUUAUACUGAAUGUUGUUCCAUUAAAGUGAUUGCAAUAGAGGAGGCUAAAGACAUCAAUACAAUGAGGAUUGAUGAACUAAUAUGGUCCCUGUAAAUGUUUAAGAUGAAUCUCGAGGAAUUCAAGAAGAGAGAAGUUAAAGAUAGAGAAGAAUAUUGUUUUACAAAUUGCUUCAUCAACUGCAACUGAAGAAGAAACUAUUAUGGAGGCUUUGUAGGACAAAAUUAGCCCUACUCGCAAAGAACUUUAAUAAGGCGUUUAAGAUGGUGUCAAGGAAGAAGAAAAGUUUUAAAGGGGCUCAAAACUUCAAAAAAGGAAAAAGAAAGGUCAUUACCAUCAAUGAUGAAGGACCCAAUGAGAAAAAGAAAGGAUAAGGCAAUGACCCCUACCGUCUUUGUUAAAACCAAGGGGUAAAAAAAUAAACAUGAAAGUUCCUAAAGACCAGAAAUUAUUCACACUGAGAGACAUCAUAAGCAUAAUAAACGAAUUAUGUGUCAUUAUUGUGGUGCCUCAAGGCAUAUUAGGCCCAAGUGUUACAAACUUUUGAAAGGUCUAAAGAAAAAGCAGUCAAUUGCAUCUCCAAUUGCAACUUGAGUUCUAACUAAUAGAAGAUAGAAACAAAAACUUGUUCGGGGAAGGAAAGAUCAAAGGUGUUUCUCACUUGCACACCUAUCCUUGUAAGCUUCUCUGAGCAGAAAUUUGAUAUAUGAUCCAAUAAUUUUUUUUAAAAAAAACUAUAAUCCAAUAUAUUUUUCUUAUAAGAAAAAAAAGAUUAUUUAAAGAUUGAAUCUGAAAUUGGUGUAAACUAAUAAUUAGAACCCAAAUUCUUCGCUACUCCACAUCUGUUUGAAUCAACUUUGAUCUAAUAAAUUUUAAAUGCAUUUGUUAUUGUUGAUAUUUUAAGUGGUUGAAUUCAACAAAACAAUAAAAAUAUUUCUUUUUUAGGAUCAUUUUUUGACAUUUUUCUUUUGUUAUUUCUAAGCUUGUUACAAUAUUUUAAGAAUCUUGAGUUCUUAACAAAUAAAUAAAUUGUGUAAUAAAUUUAUAAAAAGUUGAUAUAAUAAUUUAAUGUUACUUAUUAUAAUAUUUUGGGUUUGGAUCCGAUUAGGUUAGUUUUUGUUUUGUAAAAAUAGAGGGUUUUUGGUAAUUUUACUACUAAGUUUAGGAUCUGGUUGAUAGAUGACAUCAAUUUAGUCAAACUUUUAAAUAUAAUUAGUAAUUUUAUCACCCGUAUAUGCAAGUAAAAAUCACUUUAAAAAAGCACGUGUGCGUUAAAAUAUAACAUCUAUUUUUUAAAGGUAAAAAUAACAUCUAUUAAAUGAUAUAACUUGAAACUACUAAUAAUAACAUAUAUGCAAUAUGUUAGGUUGACUUGUGACAUUAAAUCAUCAACAAUAUUAUCUAUACAUACAUUCAACAUGAUGACGGUGAAAAACAUAUUUUAUGUAAAAAAAGAGAAAAGUAUAUAAGGCAAAAGUUAAAAAUUUUAAGAUGUUUUAUAUCAUAUAUUCAUAUCUCAUUGUUUGUUGAGAAAUGAUUGUAUAAAAUUAUGAUUCUACAUCAUCCUUAUACAUUUCCAAUAGGAGAACGACAAAUCAGAUUUAUCCCUUUCCAAUAGCAUUUUUAAUUGGAUUUAAACGAAUUUUAAGGAGGAAAAAGCCAAAAAUCAGGAGUGAAAAAUCUGAUUUGUCAUUUUUUUAUUCGGAAUAGGGAUGACGUGGGAUCACAGUUUCAUACAAUCCCUUUUCUAUUUUUGUUACACGUCUCAUUGUCAUUUAGAUACUAUUCUACCACCUCAUUAUUUGUUUAACUUAGCAAAAUUUUAACUACUUCAAUUGGGAAAUUUUUAUUUGGGUACCAAACUGUUAAAACGAAUUAUACUAUAAAAAAUUAAUUUUAAGUUCUGAAGUGUUAAAACGAAUUGUACUAUAAAAACUAAUUUAGGUACCACUAUGUUAAAACCAAUUAUAUUUAUUUUUUGAGAAUAAGUUUUGGUUGGAUUAAGCCUCCACUUUUGUUAUAUAUUUCUAAUUAUAACCAUUUUUUUAGUGAACAUUGAAAAAAAAAGUUGGUAAACAUCAAUUUUGAAUUUUUUUUCCUACAUAUAAAAAAAUCUAGUUAGCUAGCUUAAUUAUGUUUCCCUUCAACAAUCUUUGAAGGUAAUUUGAUUCUUUUCUCUGUCGAUUGAGUUUUAGUUCAAUUAGUAUUGAUAUCAUUAUCGAUAUAAGAUGACAUAGAUUCGAGUGUGCUGAAGCACAUUUAUUCUCCUAUUUAAGAGUCGGAUGAAUUAUAAAUAAUUUUAAGCAUUUUAUUAAAAAAAUUCGAUUAUUUCCUCCAGAUUGUUGAACUCCUUUUCCUUUGUUUCUUUCCCCUCAAAUCGUAUGAUAAUUAGAAAAAGAAAAAUAACAAUAAAUUAUUUUUUAUAAGAGAAAAAGGCAAGACUUAAGGAUGAAAUUCAAAACUGGUAUCAAUUAAAGAUUUAAUAUUGAAAUUAUUUUAAUUGGUGAAAUCAAAACCAAGAGUCCAUUAGAUCUAAAAUUAAUAUUUUUCAUAUUGAACUCUAUAUAAAAACAAUUUUAGAUAAUUAUGUCUUUAUUCUACAAUAAGUCAAAACCUGAUAGAAUUUAAUCAAUUUUUUUUAUCCUUAAGGUGAAGAACUGAACUAAUAUUUUUUUUCUUUAUCAUCAAUUGAAUCACUAUUCGUGACACGUGAUUUUAUUUUAUUAAUCCAUAUUUUUGUAAUCUUUUAAAAGAAAAAAAGCAGGAUUCAAUGAUUAAACGUGUGUCAACUAAAGAUUUAAUAUCAAAUUUUUUUGUUACUACAAAAGAAUUUAAAGUAUUGGUGAAACCAAAAUGAAGAAUCCAUUAAAUCUCAAAUUAAUAGUAUUGUAGAUGAAAACAAAUUUAGAUAGGUAUGUGUUUAUUUGAUAAUAGGAAAUGUAGGUUGGAGGUCUCACUCCACAAGCAACAUAUGGAAUCUCUCUUGUUAUUGCUAAAAAAGAGCCAAUGGUGUGGAUUUUUAGGACGAUGUGUGCCGAUGAUGUAUACAUCUCAGUAGUUGGGAUAAACUAAGAAGAAAAAAACCAAAUGCCUAAUGAAAUCAAAUUAAAGAAAUAUCCUAAUCAGUUUUAAUGUUAGAUAGACAACCGGGUAGAUUUUUUUUCCUAUUUAAAUUUUUUUUAGUAAUUUCAUUAUAAGUUCUAAUCAUAUCUACUCUUUUAAAGAUAAUAUCUAGAAUUAUCUAUAGCUCUUCUCUAAUCUCAUAAAUAGGAGGAUAAUACAUUUAACGCACUCGAACUUAGAUUCUCUUGUAUUGACAACACUGUCCAUGCCAAUCGAACUAUUAAUAUUCGAAUUUAAAUAUAUAUAAUAGUUAUAAAUUUUGAAUUUAUUUAUUAUUUGUUAAGUGGAUCUAAUUUCAAUAUUGUAUUUUUUUAAUAAGUAUAUUGUAACCCUUUAAAAUAAAUAAUACUAAAAAUGGCAUCGGAUAAUGUUCUCUAAAAGCCUAGCCAUUAUUGGAACUAUUUUAUGCCCUUUAUCAAUAGGUAUUCUACAUUCUGAAGUUGGAUAUAAUGAAUAUGGCAUGGAAUAAUUGGCAAAGUUAUUUAAAAUUCCACCCUUUCAAGCAAGACUCAUCAUCAACUUAGAGAGAAUGAAAAAUAAAAGCAAAUAUUCUCAUUUUAACAUCAAAUUCUUUGGAAAUAUGUUUAAUAAUAAUUAUGUUGAUAUAAAAAAAAAUAAGACAUUAUAAACAAUCAAACAUAUGUAUAAAAUUUAUGUUUAUAAAAGAAUCUCAAAAGAGAAAGUAAUAUUUUAGCUUAAAAUCAAAGAAUUAAUUAAGUCUAAAAUUAAGUAGUCCAAUUUAAAGUGAUUUAGUUAUUUAUUUUAAUAGAAGUUAAACCUUGUUCAUUCGUACGGCUACUUGAUGUAUGUAUUGGAUUAAAGGGAUUAUUAUAAAUUAUUCCUCUUUCUACCCAUUAGGGUUACACUCACAAAAUACAUAUGCUUCAUUGCUUGGGGUUUCGUAACAAAAAAAAAUGUUAAGAGGGAGAAAUUAAUAUUUAUCGUGAUGUUCUUCAUCAACUUCAAUAACUGACUUCAAUUGCGCAACAAGUAACUCUUCAUAUUCAUGAAAACCAUAUUACUAUAAAGAACACAAAAUUAUUAUUUAUGCAAAAAAAAAUUAAUUCUUUGAUUCUUUUUAUAUUAAAUAUUGAAAUUCCAUUUUAAAUCUCAUUCCAUUUAUUUUUCAUGAUUUAUAGAUGAAGAUAAUUAAAAAAGUAAAUAAUUGUUAUUUAGUGCUAAAUAAUCCAAAAAUAAAUACCUAUUUUUGAUUUAUAUUAUUUUAAUAUUAUUGAACACAUGUCUAAUAAUUGUUAUUUGUAAUUUGUAAAAAAAAAUAUUAUUUAUAUUAUUUUGUCUGUCUAUUGACACGGGUUUUGUCUGCCCAUUGAUACAGAUUUUUCCUUUUCUUUUAGUUUUUGUUUAUAGUUUUGGAGUGAAUUUUUUUUUGCGUUCUUGAGCGAUGGAAGAGGAACUGGCUAAUCUGAAUUUGAUAGAUGUGGAGGAGGAUGCAUUUCACGAGGAAGGUGCGAUGGUGGAUCAGAAAUAUCAAUUCAGUCUAGUGGGACGAUGCUUGACAAAUAGUGUUGUUCAUUUUCCAUCUUUCCAUAAUAGUAUGGAUGAUAUUUGGCAUCCCAUUGAGGGAAUUUGUAUUUCGAAUUUGGGAAAAAAAGAUAUCUUUUUCAGUUUUUCCAUGACAUUGAUAUUCAAAUAGUGCUUUCUAGAACUACAUGUUUUUUCAAAAAUCAUUUAUUAAUCCUUCACACGAUUCAAACGGGGGGAAAUUCAUUGUUAGUUUCGUUAUCCCUAUCAGAAUUUUGGGUCCAAAUACAUGAUUUGCCUCUAGGUUUGAUAACGGAAACCAUGGCAAAACAAUUUGGGGAUUUUUUGUGUCAGUUUCUUGAAUAUGAUACAUAUAUUCCGACAAUGGGUAUCCAAAAAUUUAUGCGUAUUUGGAUCCGAUUGGAUGUGACAAUUCUGUUGAAAAGAAAGAAGAAGAUUAUGAUUGGCAAGGAUCGGAUUGUCUGUGCUUGUUUUCAGUACGAGAAACUAAGUUUAUUUUGUUUUAUUUGCGGUAAGUUCGACCAUGGGGAGAGUUUUUGCUCAUUUCAAACCAGAAUUGAGCCCUCAAAAAUAGUUUUUAAGUGGGUUAUCUCAUUAUGUGCGAUGGUACGACGACAAAACGCAACUGUGAGCAAAUGGCUCUAUGAAGCAGACGGUUCAGAAUGUAGAAUGAUGAAUAUGAAAAGUGGCACUAGAGUCCAAAAUUUAGGGGAAGAGAGAGAUAUUGGGCGUAAUCGUAGGGGUGAUGUGGAGAAAUCUUAUCUAAACCCUAAUUUUAUUCCCUUAGAAUCUGGACAAAAGACAUUAAAUAAGGGUUUUGACAACUGGUGAAAUACGAAUAGUAGGGGUUUAAAUGGGGCUAGUAGUGUAGCACCCUUAACCCGUAUCCGUCGCCGGAAUGGGGCUACGAGGUAUUACCAAUCAAUCUCAACACGAAAGCAUACAUUUAACAUACAUUAAGUAUUUCCAUAUAGACAUCAAUCAAAUAUAACCACAUCGUCCCUUAAGAGGGCCUACGAGGCCUAAAAACAUGCUUAAAAUAAUUUCAGAACUAAACCGAUCACAUACAAAUUUUUUUCAAAACUUAGAAAAUUUUCUUACAUUUAAGGGUCACAUGCCCUGUGAAUAGGCCGUGUGCCUCACACGGCUACCAGACACGCUUGUGUUACAGGCCGUGUGAAAAUAGGGCAUAUAUACUAACUUGGGUCACACGGCUGACCACAUGCCCGUAUGUCUAGCCCGUGUACCCUUUGAAAUGGCCACACACGUCCAUGUGCCAAGGCUGUAUGCCUCACACGGCCACCAGACACGUCCGUAUGUCUAGGCCUUGCUCAAGAUUGACUUGAAUCUCUAAUUAUUUUCUAGGGGUCACAUGGCCAUGUGUCACACACGGUUGAGCCACACGCCCGUGUGCUCAGCCGUGUGGAGUGAAAAUAGGCUUGAUUUUAAGCCACAUUUCUCACCCUUCUCAAGUAUACCUAAACCACAACAACUUGCAUUAUUUAUAAACAUUCAAAGGCAAUCAAAACAUGUCAUCUUAUUCACAACCAUUUCAAUACUCAAAACUAUGACCAAAACCAUAUUGAAACAUAAUGUCAAAACCAACUAUUUCAUUUAUCUCCUGUAUGCACUUUUUCAACAUUUUAUCUCCUAUUUUAAUAUCACAAAACAUUCCAUCACAACAUCUUAUAAUCAAGCCACAACAUUAUCAUCUUUCAAGCAUUAACAACUAACCAAAUGAACAACCAUUUAGCUAUGUCCACAACUAUGGAAAACAUACCAAUAAGCCAACAUAUAAGACAUUAUAUACAUCACAUUUACAAGCCAAAUCUCAUGGCUAAUAUCAUAACUCAAAACAUACCAAAAUAAAACUAGCCUAUACAUGCCAUAUACCAUAUAUACAAGUUUCAAAAGUACCAACAAGAUGAUUGAUAGUGUGAUGACAUUUCCUGACGAUCCCUGAGUCCAAGCUUGUAACAUCCCUAACCCGUAUCUGUCAUCAGAAUAGGGUUACGAGGCAUUUCCGAUCAACCACAACAUAAAUCAUACAUUUGAGCAAUCAUAAUUAAAAUCCAUUCAUCUCAAUCACUUUGUCCUUUAUAAGGUCCUAAGAGGCCUUAAAACAUGCUUAGAAGUAGUUCUGGACUAAACAGAUAAUAGCUACAAACUUUAGGAAAUUUAGAAAAUUUUCUUUGAUUUCAGGGUCACACGCCUAUGUGAAUAGGCCGUAUGCCUCACACGGCUACCCGACACGCCCGUGUCACGGGCCGUAUGAAAAUAGGGCAUACAUACUUGUCGAAACCCUAUUUUAUUUUGAAAAUAAUGGGGAUCGACUUUAAAAACCAAGUGUGGAGUCGCCACCAAUCUUUUGAUUUAGGCGUGAUUGGAUCACAUAUUAAAAUGCUUUAUUUAAUGAAAAAAUCAAAGUAAAUUUGGUUUAGGUAAAAAAACGGAUUCGGGAGUCGGUUACGUAUGAGGAAGGGGUAGCACCCUCAUUACGCCCAAAAACUGGUACCAAAUUGAUUUGAUGCUGUCCUUAAAGAUUUAAAAGAAAAGAUUUUUUGAAAUAUAUAAAAAUGUUUAAAUAGUUCAAGUUGGUGAUCGAAAAUCUCUCGUUCCAAAGAUAUGCGGUUUCAUACCCAGUACGAUUGAAUAUGAUCCCUUAUACCUUUAAGAUGUGAUCAAUUUUCGACUUUUGAAAAAUUAUAAAAGAGGUUAUCUAAAUAUUUGGUUCUUCGGGAAAGUCCAUACCCAGUACGAUUGAGCACAACUCUCCCAAAUUCCCCAAACACUAGAUAUUGCCUUAUUUCGAAACCUUGAAUAACAAAAAUUUAGAAAUUCGUUUAAAAACAUGUUUACUCAUUUUAAAAUUGAUGAAAUAUUUAAUACAUUGUAAAAAACAUAUGAAACAAUAUACUCAAAAUACAAAUAACCUUGUUUAGCAAUAUGAAACAAUAUACUCAAAAUACAAAUAACCUUAUUUAACAAUCAUUGUAAAAAAAACAAAACUUUUAAGUAUGGAAAAUGAAUAAUUAAUAUAAAGUAUCAUACAUAAUUAUAACACAAAAUAGAAUGAUGUACAAAAUGUGCAUAAAAAAAUGAAGAAUUAUAUAGCAUAUAUAAGUUGACACAUUUACAUAAAACUUGGGAUAUAUAUUUAUUGAAAUAGUUAUUAUAAAGUUCAAAUCAAAUUAUGUAUAAAAUAUUUAAAACACAAAUUUAUUCAAAAAUUUAUAAUUCACAAGAUAAUUUAAAUAAUAUAUUAUGUAUGAAGGUAUAACAAUAUAUGAUAUAAAAUAAUAUACAAAAUCAAUUUAUGAAAUCUUUAUAAACAUUGGGUACAAUUAUUUAAAAAAAAAUCAAAAUUAAUAAUGUAUAUAAAAAAUAAAGUAAUGCUAUAUGAGUAACCAAAUAUAUAUAUAUAAACAUAAAGACUUGCGAAUUAAACAUAAAUUAAGAAAUAUAUAAUUCAUGUAUAUAAAUAUAUUAACAACACUUAUUAAAAAAAAUAUAAUACAAAAAAAUAUUACAACAUGCAAAAUAAUAGUUAUUAUAGAAAACUUAAACCAAUGAUUAACAUACCAAUACAUAAAAAAAUAUUUAAAGAAAUAGGAUACACAAUGUCAAAAGAAUAUUCUAAAAAUAAUUAUACAAAUGCAACAUACAGAGUUAUUAACAUAAAUUAAAGCAUACACAUAUUAAAUGUAUUCUAACUCAACUGAUUAUACAAAUAUAAGACUCAAUUAAAAAUGCAUCAAGAUGAAAUGGAUAAUUUGUAAAUAAAAUGAUCAUAAAAUAAAUCAAUGCAUAACAUGCCUAAAUAUACAAGGAUUAAUAUUGCAAAUCUUCCCAAGUCUAAAUCACCUCACUGCGUCAUGAAUUUAAAUGAGAAUGCAAUCAAAACAGUAAGCCAAUUUGAAGAGCAAAGCAUGCAAAUGCAAAGGAUUGAACGCGCAAAUUUCCCUUUCAUACAAAAUGGCGCAUAUCCGGUUCAUAUUUCGGGUCAAUGCGCGGACCCCCUUUGCUGGCAAACGACACCGUUUCUUCAAUAGGUUAUUUAGAACCCUUUUUUUUUUUUACCCUUUUCCCUUCCCAAAAUGCAGCCGUUCCUUCACCCUAAUAUGCAACCCCCAAAAUCAAAAUGUAGAGUUCAUAUUUGCAGCCAUUGAACCACCAUUUUAUUUGGUAGCCGAUGACGCAUGAACAACAUCCAGAUCUUACCAUCGAAGGCUCCACUCGGGGAAAAUCUGGUAAGCCAAAUUAUUUUAUUUUUUUUUAGAAAAAAAAUAUUAAAUCUCAAAUUAUUUGUUCAAGAGAAAAAAGAAAAUGUUGAAAAUCGAAACAUUCAACAGCCUCAGACCCUCGCCCUUAUUUUAGAGAUAUUAGGGACCUCACUGGUGCCAUCUUGAGGCUUGAUGAAUAAUACUUUUAACUUCCUCUUUCAACUUUAUUCUCAACGAAGUGAACAGAGGCUAAAACCACUUCGAAAGGUAUAAUCUAACUCUUUUUUUUCUUUUGUGUUUCCACAUGCAAAAAUGAUGAAGAUAACUGCUGGAAAAAUAAAAAGAAGGGAACAAUUAAAAAGCUAAAGAAGAUCACCUUUUGGAAAUCCAUUUUUUUGAAAAUUUUAGAUUCUGUAUGCGUAUUGUGUAUUCAGUGAGCGUCCCUCUGCAGGUACAUUCGAUGGCUUUUUAUAGCCAAAUUUACAGAGUAAAUAAAAAAUAAAAUUACAUUUUCCUGCUGUCAUUUGUUGUAAAUUCUGUUAGCUCCUUCUUCUCGUGUGUUCCGUUACAGGAGUAGCCGUACGAACGGAGACGCGCGCGAGGAACUAGUGGCGCGGCUGGAGACCGACUGCUAGUUGCGGCGUGAGGGGAGAUGGCUAGCUGCUGGUGUUUUCCAAAAGCCUCUAGGUUUUCUAGUGUUUUUUAAUUAUUGGGCCUUUUUCUGGUCAUUUUGGGUCUCGGGUUUGGGCCCGAAAUUUUGUAAAUGGGUUAGGUUUGUAUUAAUAGAUUUGAGUUUAAUUUAAUAGGUUAUGGGGAUAAGUUUAUUCAGUCAUGGAUUGUUUUGGACUAAUGGACUUUUAUUGUUUUUAUUUUGGUUUAUUUUUUUGUUUUUUUUUAUUUUUUUGGUUUUUUUGGUUUUCUAACAUGCCCGGGCGAAAUGGCCCUAUUACAAUACUGACUUGUACCACAUGGCCGGAGACACGCCUGUGUGCCAUGGUCGUGGGAAAACUAGAGAGGUUAUUGACUUGGGUCACACGACCGGCCACAUGCCCAUGUGCUAGCCCGUGUGUCUCACACGGUCAGUAGACACGCUCGUGUGUCUAGGCCAUGUCAAAACUGUAGGGUAUAUUGCCUUAAUUCGAAAGGGUACCUUAGGGGACACACGGUCGUGUAACAUGACCGUGUGUCACACACGGCUGAGAUACACGCCCGUGUCUCUACUCGUGUGGAUAGACAUAGGCCAUUUGAAAAGCCAAUUUGCCACCCUUUCCACAAGCACACAUAGAAACCAAAAUAGCACCAUUUCAAUACAUCUUUAAGCAACCAAAAACAUGUCAAUUCAUACUCAUGUCAUGCCAUCUAUCAUCAACCAAUUCAACUACUCAAUUCCGCAUUCAAAACCUAUCAAAUCAUUGUGUUAAAAUUUAUCACAUUAACAACUAUUUAUCACAAAAACAAAUCAUUAAAUUAUAUCAACAACUAAGGCCAACAUACCUAAAACAAGCCAAUAUAUAAAAGGCAUUAUGCACAUCACUUAGGCCAACUUAAAUGACCAAAUACAUACCAACAUAUUCAACAAAAACUAGCCAAAUCUUAUGGCUAUAUCAAAUCUCAAAUCAUAUUAUCAACUCACUAGCAUAUACAUGCCAUAUAUGUAACGACCUAAUUUUCAGUGGUGUCGGAAAUGGUGAUUUGAGAUCACUAAAUUCGACAAAUAAGAUUGAACAAGAUAUUAAUUUAAUAUUUAUGAGUCAAGUAAGGAUUUAGAAGAAUUUUUGAAAUGAUGAAAUUAGUGAAUUAAAAGAAUUUAUUAGGUCAAACGGGUCAAAAAUGAGGUAUCGAGACCUAAAAAUUGAAAAUCGAGCUAUAAAUAUUUUUAUAAAUAUUUAUGGAGUGUCAUUGAGUUAGUAUUAAAGUUUCGUUAGAAAAUUUUAACGUUUGGAUGGCUAAUUAAUUAAAAAGGACUAAAUUGAAAAUAGCGCAAAAUUUGCUAAAUUGUGAGUAAAUAGCUUAAGUAUUUAAAAGAUAGAUUUAAAGAGCAAUUAGACCCAAAGGUUAAUGGCUGGACGGUUUGGGUAUGAAAUAAGCAAGAAAACAAUGUGAACAAUGGGCAAAAUUGGAAAUAGCAUAAAAGUUAAUAGUUAAAUAAUGAUGUAAUUGAAAAAUCUAGACAUUUCUUCAUAUUUUCUCAGCCAAAACGCCAUAGAAGGUCUGGAGAAAGCUGGUUUUUCAUAUUUUUACAUCAUGUGAGUUUAAUUCUUGCUUUUUCUUGAUAAUUUUUAUGUUUUUAUGACUUUUACAAUUAGGUCCACUUAUAGAAUUCAUUAGUUUUUGAUUUUAUGGGUGAAAUUGGAAGUUACCCUGGAUGGAUAAGGAAUUUUAUGAUUAAUUAUUAUGAAAUUUAAGAUCUAAUUUCAUAUUAAGGUGGUUUUAUUAAGUGAUUUUGAUAGGAAAUGAUAUUUAGGACCUAAUUGUGAAAAAGUUGUGAAUUGAAGGUUGCUGUUGAAAUUCAGAAUAUAAAAGGUUUUGAAAAAGUUUAUAAUGAUAAAAUAAAGUGUUAAUUGAGAAAAAUUAGUUCAAUUGAUGGGUGAAUUCAGCAGGGACUAAAUUGUGAAAAUUAUAAAUUUUAGGGUAAAAGUGCAAUUUCAAAAUUUAAACAGCAUAAAUUGUGAAGUGAAAUAGAAAUCAAAUAAAUGCUAAUGAGUAGAAAUAUUUUAUAUUAUAGAUCAAGAAUCCAAAGAAGAACGAGGAAAAGAAAAAGUUGCGGAAUAGUCCCUAAAUUUUAAUAUCUUCUACAAAUUAGCCAGGUAAGUUCAUAUGGUUGAAUUUAGAUGUUUAUUUGUGAAUGAUUGAAGUAAUGUGUUAUUAUAUAUGAAUUUGUUGUGGGAUUGUGUAAAUUUUGUUAAUGAAAGAAUAAAUGUGGAAAUGCAAAUUAGGAAAAACGUAGGAUUGAGUACGUUCGUAUCGUGACAUGUGAUGACUUGACGGAUAAGACCAUGGUUGUUCCAUGGCAAAGUGUGAAAUGUAGGUAUCGUAUCAUCCAUACUGAGUUGUGAUAUGUAGGUAUGGUAUUAUCAAAUCCAUACUGAGUUAAGAAAUGUAGGUAUGGCAUUGCCCAUACCGAGUUGUAAAAUGUAGGUAUAGUAUUUCAAUGAGGAAAACCAUACUGAGUUAUGAAUCGUGGCACUGAACAACGACGUACUCAAUUUCGUAAGCCGUUUCCUAAUUUGAUUAUAAGAAAUAAAAGAGAAGUGAUCCAAAUGAAAGAGAUUGAGUAGUUGUUACUGUUGAGCUCAACUAUAUGAAUUAUUAUAACAAUGGUUGUGAAUCGCAGGAAACUUUAGUAAAUGUUUUGGUAUCGUUUGGAAAUAUUAUGUUUGGUAAGCAUUACUUUUAAACCUAUGAACUUACUAAGCUUCAAUAAGCUUACUUGUGUGUGUUUGAUAUUUUUAUGUAGAUUGAAUUAAAGUGAAGUUGGUAGAUUGGAUCAACACAACAAAGCACGCUAUCCAGAUCAAUUCCGGUAGCUUUUGUUUUAUGUUUGAACAUUUAUAUGGCAUGUAUAGAGUUUAAAUGAAAUGAAGUAAAGAUGUCAACAUUUUGUACUAAAACAGUUUUUGGUUAGUAGCAGUAGUUUGACUUUGAAAAUUCACCAUAAAUUAUGAAAAUCUCAUUAGAGGUUGAAUAAAAUAUGAAAUUAAAUCUUAUUGAAUAUAGUUUCACAUAAAAGAAACGGUGUAAGCAAAAGGCUUUCAUAUAAGGAGAUAUUUGAAUUUUUGUGAGACAAGGUCAGAAUGAUUUUGAACUCCCUUGUUCUGAUUUGUAAAAAUAAUUAAAAAUUGUACAAAAAUAUUUUGGAGUCAUACUAUAUAUGUAUGGAUUUAUUAUUGAGUCUAUUUUUAAUAGAAACAAACGUCUUGGUUAUUUGAAUUCUGUACAUGGAGAAAUUUGGUUCGUAGUGCACAGGGGUCAGAGCAGCCAAACCCUAAAACAGGGGAGACUUCAACUAAUAAACUGUACUAAUUGGCCCAACCAAAAAUUCUAGAAAAAAAUUAGUAAGUAGAUAUAUGAGCCUAGAUUUGGGAAAAAUUUACGGAUUUGGAUUUCAAGUUUUGUAACUCAAGAUAUGAUUUUUUUUGCAUCUGUAAUGCUGUUGGACAGCUUGUCUGGAAAGUGUGAUAUAAAUUGUUUGAAUUUGUUUAAAUGCUCAAAUAAGUUUAGUAAUGCCUCGUGCUCGACUCCGGCGAUGGUCUCGGGUAAAGGGGGCGUUACAAUAUACCAUAUUUACAAGCAUCCAAAAAUAUCAACAAGUAGUCGAUAGUGUGAUGAUGGUUCCCGAUGAUCCCCGAUGUCCCUGCUAGCUUCGAUAAUUUAUAAAACAUGAAAAGAACACACAAGUAAGCUUUAAAAGCUUAGUAAGCUCGUACUAAAUACACUCAACAGUUCAUAACAUACAAACCAUCAAUUUGAACUAAUUUAUAUCUAAAUCAUGAUGACCAACAAACUUUCCUCAUACUUACUCAAGUAUUUAUGAACAAGUUCAUUACUUCUUCCAUUUGGAUUUGUGCUUUUUAUGUACAUAUCUGUACAAAUUCAUACCGAACUCAUACCUUUUACGUGAUACUGUCGAAAUACUUGAUAUCUCGCACACUAAGUGCCAAAGCAUAACCAAAACUAUUAUAAUCUCGAAUCUUUCUCAACCUCGCACACUAAGUGCCAUAUAUAGCCGAAGCUAUUCCAAUUCGCACACUAAGUGCUUUAUAUAGCCGAAGCUAUCUCGAAACGCACACUAAGUGCCAAACAUAGUCGAUUUGUCGUUGUAUGCAAUCGUAGUCGCAUAUAUACAAUUUAUGCAAUAUUAAAGAAUUAAAAACAUAAUUGUAAUAAUGUUUAUCAUGUACGAACUUACCUCAGAUGUAAAAACAAGGAACUAGUCGAUUAAUCGAGUACUUUGUUCUUGCCUCGAUCUAAGUCUGGAUUCCUUUUUUCUUGAUCUAUAUUAUAACAAAUUCAACUCAUUUAAUCACAUAACCUUAGAAUUUAGUCCACAAACACAUAUUUGAGCAUUUUUGCACUUUAGCCCCUAAAGUUCCACAUUUAUUCAAUUUAGUCCCUAUUUAUCAAAAACAAAAAUUACACAAUUUAAUUUCACCCAAGCCUAGUCGAAUUUCCUAAGAACCCCUAGCAACCCAAAACUUUGAUUUAUUUCACAAUUUAACCCCUCAAUUUACACUUUUCUCAAUUUAAUCCCUAAUAUGCAUUUUUACUCAAAAUCACUUUACAAAACAGGUAUAUCAAGCACCGAGCUUUCAUAAUUCAUCAUCAAAUAUCAUAAAACACAUGAAUUCAUCAAUGGAAACUUCCAAAAUCAUCAACACUUUCAAAAAUUGAAGCAUGAGCUAGCUAGUACUCAAAGUAACGAUCACAAAAAAGUAGAAAUCAUAAAAAACGGAUUAAAAACCGUACCUUAAUGAGCUAGAAAUGCUUGGCCGAAUGAAAACCUAACUUAAGCUAUUCCUCUCUUCAAGUUUCAGCUAAUGAAGAUGAUAAUCUAACAAAUGUUAGCUUUUGUUUUGUUUAAUAUAUCGUUCAUUAACUAUUUACCAAUUUAUCCUUUAAAUUAAUUCAAUAUUUCAAUAAUGCCAAACCAAAUAUCAUCCACUAAUUCACAAAAGGGCUAUUUACCUCAUAAGGACUUACACAUUUAAAUUUCUUAGCAAUUAAAGCACUUUAACAAGUAGAAUGCAACUUUUGCAUUUUACGCGAUUUAGUUCUUUAGUCAAAUUAACCACUUAAACGAUAAAAUUAUCACACAAAACUUUUCACAUAUAUAAUCACAUACUGUAAACACCAAAAAUAAUAUUAAAAUAAUUUUAUGACUUUAGAUUUGUGGUUUCAAAACCACUGUUCCAAUUUAGAUAAAACCGGACUGUUACAAAGCUAGCUUCGAUAAUCUAUAAAACAUAGAGAAAUAACACACAGUAAGCUUCAUAGCUUAGUAAGUUCGUACCAAAAAUACUCAACAGUUCAUAUUAUACAAACCAUCAAUUAAUAAACAUUUAGUAGUUCUCAUAUCAUCAUUCAAUUCUAAUCCAUGACUAUUUAUCAUGUAUAUACAAAUUCAUCAAGCUUCAUACACAUAGUAUCAACUACCACAUAAGUAUCAUAAGUACCUGUACUUUCCCAUAUUUAUUUAUUUCAUUCUCACCUCUUUGUUCAAUACGUUAAAAUCGUUCGGAAAUCUUUCAAUGCUCUAAGAACUCGCACACUUAGUGCAUAAAUGUUUAGCCGAAGCUAUAAUGAUAUCGCACACUUAGUGCCAUCGCAUUAAAUCGAAGCUAUCUCGGUAUCGCACACAUAGUGCCACAUAAAAGUGAAGUUAUUCCAAUUUGCACACUAAGUGUUGUAUAUAGCCGAAGCUAUCUCGAAACGCACACUAAGUGCCAAACAUAGUCUAUUUGUCAUCGUAUGCAAUCGUAAUCGCAUAAAUACAAUUUAUGCAAUUUUAAAGCAUUAAAAGCAUAAUUGUAACAAUAUUUAUCACGUACGAACUUACCUCGGACGUAAAAACGACGAAACUAGUCGAUUAAUCGAAUACUUUGCUCUUGCCUCUAAGUCUAAGUUCCUCUUUUCUUGAUCUAUAUACAGUCAAAUUUAACUCUUUUAUUCAUAAACACAUUCAAUUUAGUCCACAAACACAUAUUUGAGCAUUUUUUCACUUUAACCCCUAAAGUUUCUCAUUUAAUCAAUUUAGUCCCUAUUUCAUAAAAACACAAAUUACUCAAAAUUCACUAAGACCCAUGCUUGACCGAAUUCUCUAUAGGACCCUAACAACCCAUAUUUCACAUUUAUUUCACAAUUCAACCCCUCAAUUUACACUUUUCACAAUUUAAUCCAUAAUUGACAUUUUUGUCAAAAAAUUACUUUACAAAACAUGUAUAUCAAGCACCAAGCUUUCAUUAUUCAUCAUCAAACAUUCAAAAGCUCAAGCAAUGGCAACUCAAAAAUUCAUCAACAAAUUUAGAAAUUAGGGUACGGGCUAGCUAGUACUCAAAGCAACGAUCACAAAAACAUAGAAAUCAUAAAAAAACGAGCUAAAACACUUACCAAAUCAAGCUUGCAAGUGCCGAAAGCUUUAAACCUAAUUUGGCUUCUUUUAUUCUUUGUAUUUUCAGCUAGAUGAUGAUGAUAACACAUAAUUUUGAUUUUGGUUUUAUUUAAUAUACCUUAAUAACCAAUUUACAAAUUUAACCUUGUUAUUAAACCAUUUAAACACCUUAAUAAAUGCCCGUUUAUGUCUAUUAGCACUAUCUAAACCCGUGUUGAUUUGGCAGGAUUGCUCACGGCCAUGUCGCACGGUUGUGGCAACGUAUCGAAUCCUGUGUUUGGGGAAAAAUUUUACUCUAUUUUCACAUGGUCAUAUCGUACGGCUGUGUUGCCUCCCGCGGUAGAAGCACGGCCUAAGGCACGCUCGUGUGCCUGGCUGUGUAGAUUUGGAAAACCUGUGUUCAAGGACUCAGUUAAUGAUUUGGAUGUUAGAAACUAAAAUUUAAAGAAAUCAACACCGUUAAUGCUCGGGUUACCUCCCGAGAAGCGCUUAUUUAGAGUCUAAGCUCGACUUACCUCUCUGUUGCAUGGUCAUGGUGGUGCGAGGAGUUUACACUUCCCAUUCCUGCUAUCAAUUUUAUCAAAAUAAGGUUUUAGACGAGUACUAUUUACCUUAAAAGUGCCGAAUUUAGAAUGAGUUACCUCGACUGUACCGUAUGGGAAAAUAUUAAGUUUCAUAAAAGGGAUUGCUCCAUUAGGUUCAGUAGUGGUAAUAUGAGGGUCUGCCGUAUCUAAUAGUACUUUGUCUCCAACCUUAAGUUGAUUUGAUAAAACAUUUAGUCUGUCAUGGCGUGGUUUUGGUUUAUCGUGUGUUUUCGAUUUCUGUGUCCAUAAUUCAUCUAGUUCAUCAAUUUGAAGUCUUCGUUCUUCAUAGAUGGGUCCUUUGUUGUUACUUGAACAUGGCUCAUGUAUGCUUUUCGAACAUGUUUCCUGUAAAGAAAGUUGCACCACAUGAUCAGUAUUAGUAGCAUGAUUUAUACCAUAUUCAAUAUUCAAUGUGUUACUCGAAUUACGAGCUUGAAGAGUGAUUGUUUCAUCACCCACACGAAGUGUGAGUUCACCUGUACCAACAUCAAUAAUAGUUCUAACAGUUGCUAAAAAGGGUCGUCCUAAAAUUAAAGGCACGUCACUAUCCUCUUCUAUGUCUAAAAUAACAAAAUCAAUUAGGAAUAUAAAUUUGUCAAUUUUAACAAGUACAUCUUCAAUAAUACCCCUAGGAAAUCUAAUUGUUUUAUCUGCCAAUUGAAUGCUCAUUCUAGUUUGUUUGGGUUUCCCAAUACCUAGUUGUUUAAACAUUUUAUAGGGCAUGACAUUAAUACUAGCCCCUAAAUCUACCAAAGCAUUGUUAAUGUUUAAACUACCAAUUAAACAUGGAAUUAUAAAACUCCCUGGAUCUUUCAACUUGUUGGGUAGUUUAUUUUGUUGAAUGACUGAGCAAACUGCAUUCAACUCUACAUGUGACGCCUCAUCCAACUUCCGCUUAUUUGCUAAAAGCUCCUUUAAAAAUUUAACUGCGUGUAGCAUCUACGAAAGAGCUUCAAUAAACAGUAAGUUAAUAUGUAAUUUCUUUAAUAAUUUAAGGAAUUUACCAAAUUGUUCGUCCGUGUGGUCUUUCCUUGUCGCUCUAGGGUAUGGCACACGAGGUUUGUAUUCUCUACUUACCGGUUUUUGCUCAUUGUGGUCCACCUUACUUUUACAUUUACUUACCACAAUUCCUUGCCUCGAUUCUGGUUCAGGUUCAACUAACCCUUCCUCAUCUUGAACGGUAAUCGCAUGAAGCUGCUCCCUUGGGUUAGUUUCAGUAUUACUCGGCAAAUUACCUUGUGGUCGUUCAGAAAUCAAUUUAGCAAGCUGGCAUAUCUGAGUUUCGAGCCCCUAGAUCGACGCUUUUUAAUUCUUAAGUGCUGUUUUGGUAUUCUAAAAAUGAGUUUCUAACACCGAGAUAAAUUUCGUUAGCAUCUUUUCAAGGUUCGAUUUCUUUUCCUGCUGGUAAGGUAGUUGUUGAAAACCUGGUGGAGGUUGUUGCCUUUGAUUUCCUUGGCCACCCCAUGAGAAGUUGGGAUGGUUCUUCCAACUUGUAUUAUAAGUGUUACUGUAUGGGUUAUUUUGAAUUCUAGAAUUAUUAUUACCCAUAUAUUUAACUUGUUCCUCCUCGGUGCUAGGGCUGAAGGAUUGACAUUCUGUGUGUACUCCUCCUCCAUUUGAAUCGCACCUCAUCACUAGAUGUACCUGAGUAGAACCAUACAAACCGUUAAUCUUUUUAUUUAAUAGUUCUACCUGGUUAGAUAGCAUACUAAACGCGUUGAGGUUGAAAACACCAGCUGCUUUUUUCGGCUUUGUUCUCAUGACUUGCCACUGAUAGUUAUUCAAUGACAUCUCUUCAAUAAAUUUGUAAGCCUCUUCAGGUGUUUUGUUGUUCAAAGUUCCACCGGUGGCUGUGUCGAUAAGUUGCCUUGUGGAGGGGUUCACACCGUUGUAAAAAGUCUGAACCUGUAACCAUAAAGGUAACCCAUGGUGAGGGCACCUUCUCAAUAGGUCCUUGUGUCUCUCUCAUACAUCAUAAAGAGUUUCUAGAUCCAUCUACACAAAAGAAGAGAUAUCAUUCCUCAAUUUAUCCGUUUUAGCUGGGGGAAAUUAUUUAAGUAAGAAUUUUUCAGUCAUUUGUUCCUAAGUAGUGAUUGACCCUCCUGGUAACAAGUUCAACCACUAUUUAGCCUUAUUCCUCAACAAAAAUGGAAGCAACCGAAGGCGUAUGGCAUCGUCAGAAACGCCAUUGAUCUUAAAAGUGUCGCAGAACUCCAGAAAAUUUGCCAAAUGAGUGUUUGGAUCCUCGUCUUGCAAACCAUCAAACUGAAUAAACUGUUGUAUCAUUUGAAUCGUCUUAGGUUUCAGUUCAAAUUUAUUUGCAGCAAUAGCAGGUCUAACUAUACUCGAUUCAGCUCCUGUUAAACUAAGUUUACCAUAAUCAUACAUAGUACGAGGAGCAGGAUCCUGAUUUACUGGGUUCGCAACAGCCACAGGAGGUAGAGGAUUAUUAUUAUGAUUAUUAGCCAUCUCCUCGGUUGUGGUUUGAAUAUCGUCCUUUUGCCCUUCCUCUAUGUAUCGUAGGCUUCACUUUAUCUCUCUUCAAUUUCUGUGUGCUGUGCUUUCAAUCUCACUAUCAAAAAGUAGAGGUCCUGACGGGUUUCUUCUAGUCAUAAACUAUAAAAACCUGCCAGAAGUAAAUAAAAUAAAAUUUAAUGAUAAAAAUUAAAUUGCAAUAAAAUAAAUGGCUAAAGUAAAAAAAAUUAAGCGUUCCUAAUAUCUUAGUUCCCCAGCAACAGCGCCAAAAACUUGAUGUGCGUGAUAAGUUUUAUAAUUAUGAUUGAUCGUACUUGAAGACUAACUGUUAUCACGAUAAAGGCAAGUGCACCUAUCGAACAGUAGUAUAGCUUAUAGCAAGACUGGAAUGUCGAAUCCACAGGAACUAAAAGUACUAGUAUUAACCUUCUUUUUAUUAUCUAGCCAAAAAAUAAUGGGAUUUGCUUUAUCUAAACUAAUUAACUAAACUAAGAAUGCACAGGAAGUAAAUAGGGGAAAUACUUUUGGGAAAGCUGAUUGCUUUAGACAAUACCCAAGGAAGACUCCACCUAAACUUCACUUGUUAUUUGACUUUGAAUUAGACGAUUUAUUCACUUGACUCGAUCCGUAGAAAUCCCUAAUUUAUAUUAUUAUCUCUCUAGAGGCUAACAACGUCUAACCCUAGGUUGAUUAAUUGAAAUCUCUUUCUAAUUAAAACUCCUAAUGUCGCAUUAACCCGAUCUAUGGAUUCCCUUAUUAGGUUUGACCCUAAUCUAGCAGAUUUAUGUCGCCCUAUGUAUAGGGUGCAAUCAACUCCACUUAAUUAUGCUAGAUUUACUCUUAGACAGAGGCUUUUGCUCAUCUGAAGAAGCACAUCAACACUUGAAUCAAUAUCCUGGAAUAUUAAAACAAGAAUUAAGAACACAUAAUUAAGAACAAAUCAAGUAUUUAUCAUAUAAUUCAGAAAAUGGUAACAAGAUCCGUCUUAGGUUUCAUCCCUCUUAGGUAUUUAGGGCAUUUCGUUCAUAUGUGUAAAAGAAAACAUCUCAAAAGAAUAAUAAUAACAAAACAAAAAGAAUCCCAAAAAACCCUGAAGGAAAUUGAAGGGAGAUCUUCAAUCUUAAAGGAGAAUCCAACUUCUGAGAUGGAUCAAUCGGCUUUCUUCGAGUAAUUCCUAGCCCCUACUCCGUGUCUUUCUUUAAUCCUCCUCGAGGGUGUUUAUAUAGGCUUUAGAAUGCCUAAGAACCCUCCGAAGUGCCCUUUUCCGAAUAGAACUAGACUUGUGCUCGACAGGGACACGGCUGUGUGCCAGUGCUUCAAACCAUGUUAAAGUCUGUUAAAUAGGCAUGGGCAUCUGGUAUACCCGUGUGAGGAAGUCCAGGCUGUGUUAAUUUCCCACGUUGGCCUAUUUUCUCCUUUUUGGCCCGUUUCUCACUUUUUUUACUCUCCUAUGCUCAUCUAAGUAUAAAACAUGAAAUUAAAGUAUUAGGAGCAUCAAAUUCCAUAAAUCUAAUGAUAAUUUAUCCAAAAAUGUGCUAAGCAUGGGAUAAAAAUAUGUCUAAAUUACGACUUAUCCAGUAUUGAUAUAGGGGUGAUUAGAUCAAAAUGAGGCUUAUCAUUGGGUUGGAAAAGUAACUCUUUGAUUAUGAUUAGGAGUUAUUCUCAUUACUAUAUUGAUGUUGAUAUUCAUGAUAAUAAAAAUGGUGAAAUUUGGGGGUUAACGGGUUCUUAUGGGAACCCUGAUAGACGAAGUAGGCAGAUGCCAUGGUAGCUACUUAGUCAUUUGGGACAUGAUCAAAUGGUCCAUUGGCUUGUGAUUGGGGAUUUCAAUGAGAUCACCAGCUCUUUUGAAAAGAAGGGUGGAUGACUUAGAUCAGAAUAAUAGAUGGCUGAGUUUUGAAGCGUUUUGGAUUACUGCGGGCUUAAUGAUCUGGGUUUAACUAGUAGGUGGUUUACAUGGGAGAGGGAAAGAUUUUUGUUGACUAACAUAAGGGAAAGACUUGAUUGAGGAGUCACGGCUUUGGAAUGGGUAAGUCUUUUUUCCAGGCUAUCUAAUGGAACAUUUGAGUCAUACUGCUUCAGACCAUUAUCCAAUUCUUGUGGACACAACAGGAAAGUUCAAGGAUGAUAAAAGACACGGAGUUAAGCGUUUCUAUUUUGAGGCUAGAUGAUGCUUAGAACAAUCUUUCAAUGAGGAAGUAAAAAAGAAUUGGGCUGAAUCAUCUGUUUGUAUUCUCGCUAAGUUAGCAAAAGUCGGUCAAUAGUUCCAACAAUGGAGUCGUCUAAGGAGUCGGGAGCAAAAGAGAAACCGAAUGGAUUUAGAGGAACGGUUGCUCGAAAUUUAUAAUUGGGAUCCAUCUGAUUAGGUUUUGGCUGAAAUUAUAGAUGUUCAGUUAAGUCUGAAUUUGGAGACUAAUAAAGAGAAAUUUUUUGAGGAACAACGUGCCUAAGUCAACUGGUUGAAAAAUAGGGAUCAGAAUACAAGUUUUUUUCACAAAGUAGCUGUGACCUGUCAAAAUCAUAAUUGGAUUAUUGGGUUGGAAGGGAGGAUAGAUGUUGGGUUUCAAAAGCUAAAGAGAUAUUGUAGAUUACUUUGAAGCACUUCGAAAAUCUAUACACGACUUCCAAGACAGGUGACAAUGAACGGCUGCUUGGGUUAGUGAAGAGACGGAUCACAAAUAGCAUGAAUGAAAGUUAGUGAAGAAAUGGAUCACAAAUAGCAUGAAUAAAAAGCUACUCAAACCUUUCACUAAAGAGGAAAUUGGGCAUGUAGUUAAGAUGAUGGCACCCCUAAAUGCCCCAGGGAUCAACAGUUUUUCAGCAAUGUUCUACCAAAGGUAUUGGCAUAUUGUUGGGCUUGAGAUUUCUAAGUAUUGUUUGUCUGUCUUGAAGAGUGAGAUUGAAAGGUAAGAUUAAUAAAACCCAUAUAGUUCUAAUUCCUAAAGUUGAAAAACUGAAAAAUCUUUCACAAUUUAGACCAUAAGUUUAUGUAAUGUGGUUUACAAAAUUAUUUCGAAAGUCUUUGUGGAACAAAUGAGUGCAAUGUUGAGGGUUGUAUUAAUGAAGCCCAAGAGGCUUUUAUUCCAAGGAGACAUAUUUUGGAUAAUGUUUUGAUUUUUUAUGAGGUCUUACAUUCCCUUAAAAUGAAAAAUAAGAAUAGAAAAGGGAAUUUUACGGUUAAACUUGAAAUGAGUAAAGCGUAUGAUCAUGUUGAGUGAGAUUUUUUUGCUAGAAUGAUGCGCAGGUUAGGUUUUCAUACUGAUUGGAUCAUUAUCAUUAUUUGUUGCAUCUAUUCUAUUACCUAUACAGUAGGUAUCAAUGGGGAUAUUAGCGGUCGGUUUUGUCCUUCGAGAGGGUUGAGACAAGAAGAUCCAUUCAGCCCUUAUUUAGUCUUAAUCUGUGCAGAGGGUUUUUCUACACUAUUGAAUAAAGCAAAACAGAAAGAUCUGAUGAAAGGUGCUCCGAUUAGGAGGGAAAGGCUAGCGAUUAAUCACUUAUUUUUUGCGAACGACUGUAUACUUUUUGUUGAUGCCUCGUAUGAGGGAGCAAAUACAGUCUAUAACAUUAUUAUGGAAUAUGAGCUGGUUUCGGGGCAACAAGUUAAUUUUGAAAAGCCGUUUAUUUAUUUUGGUGCAAGUGUGGAUUCUAAAGAAAGGGAGUUAAUUGCCAACAUUUUUGGAGUCCAUGUAACAACAAACCCCGAGAAGUAUUUAGGUCUGCCAAUGAUGGUUGGAAGAAAGAAAAGGUGGGCUUUUGCAAACUCUGUUGACUAUUCCAGAAGGAGAAUUGAGGGGUAAAGUUUUCACUAUCUAUCGAUAGAGGGUAAGGAAGUAUUAAUUAAGUCAGUUUUACAGGCAAUUUCGGUAUACUUUUUGCAGUGUUUUGUUUUGCCAAAGAUUUUAUGCUGAAAGCUAGAGGGUAUUUUGAACAAAUUUUGGCAGUCUAAUAGCAAAUCAGCUAACAACAUUUAUUAGAGUAAUUGGAGUGCACUGUGUAAAUCCAAAGUUGCUAGUGGGCUGGGAUUUCGAGAUCUUUUUUUGUUCAAUAAAGCUUUACUAGCUAAACAGGUUUGGCGGUUAUUAUCCUAGCUUAGGUUCCUUUUAGCGAAAGUUUUUAAAGCCUAUUAUUAUCCAUUCACAAACAUUAUGUCAACAAAAGUUGAAUCUUACCUUUCGUUUACUUGAAGCAGUAUUGGUAGUGCCUGGGGUCUAAUUGAGGACAUAUUAAUUUGGUGCAUUGGUAGUGGUGAGGAUGUGAACAUUUGGAAUGAUCCUUGGCUGCCUGAUCUUGGAAUUAGUAGAUUAUCAGGUCAGAGUAUAAAUCCUUGUUGGACUACAGUGAACCAAUUAACUGGUGUACGAGGCAUUAUGUAGACCUAUUGACAGAGACCAGCAUUGUAACACCCCUACCCGUAUUCCGAGCUUAGAAUAGGGUACGAGGCAUUACCAAACUUAAUAUGAUCAAUCAUGUAAAAAAAUCAGCCAUAAAAUUGUUUCUAAAUCAAAAACUUUCAUACAUAUGUUUAACGUCUCUUAUAUGGGCCUACGGGGCCCAAAACAUACAUCCAGGGUGGUUCGGGACCAAACCGUAAACAUAUGGAACUUUUGCAACACUUAGAAAAUUUUCACACUUUAGAGAGUCACACGCUCGUGUUUUCAACCCGUGUAACUCUCUGUUUAUAACUUCAUCACCCUUGUUAGUCAUACACUUCAUAUAAAUAACAAGAAACGUGUAUGGGCUUAAUUCUCAUUCAAUUUCUCAUAUAUAUACACAAUUUCACGUUAUGUAAUCAUACAACAUAUAUCAACCAUAUCUUUGUAAUCUAAAUAUAUUUUCAUAACAACUUAUCUUGAUUUCAGACUAUUUCAUAUUUAAGCUUAAAUAACCAAAGUAUUUGAAAUAUCAUCUUUAUGCAAAUAGUACACAUGAGGUAUAUAAUUCUAUAAUUAUGAAUAAAAACAUUUAUCAAACAUUUUCCAUAUUCAUAUAUCAAUGUCUCAUGUCUCCAUAUAUCAAUAACCGUCAUUUUCAUGAAUUCCGAGUUCAAUUUCAUAAUUAUUUGUCUCAUGUUCAAUUUAUUCCAUAUCGGAAUUUUAUUCAUUAAAACAUUUGAAUUAUCAAUACAUAUAGACAGUACAUUCAAGAUGAAUAAUUAUAUAAUCACAAAUGAAUUCAUUUAUCAACCAAGUUCUAUACUCGUAUCUUAUCAACUCGUACUUCCUUGUAUCACAUAAUUCCAUGUAACACUUGCCAAACUUUGUCAAAUUAGUGAACGUCUUAUGGAAUUGAGUACUUCAUUUUCUCGAUGCCAUAGUUCAACUAUGGUCUUACACAUCUUUACAUAAUGAUGCCAUAGCCCGGCUAUGGUCUUCCACAUAUUCAUAUAUCGAUGCCAUAGCCCAGCUAUGGUCUUACACGAAUCACAUAUCUCACUGAUGUCAUAUCCCAGAUAUGGUCUUAUACGGAAAUCACUUGUCACUUGUCACUUGUAGCCAAAGCUACCACUAUUCACUGAUCAGGUAGCCGGAGCUACCAUUUUUCACUGAUCAGGUAGCCGGAGCUACCAUUUUUCACUGAUUAGGUAGCAGGAGCUACCACUUUUCACUGAUCAGGUAGCUGAAGCUACCACUUUUCACUUGUCAUUUGUCAUUGAUCAGAUAAGUGUAGCCGAAGCUAUCACUUAUCACUUUCACUUUUCCUUGAUCAGAUAAGUGUAGCCUAAGCUAUCACUUAUCACUUGUUGUCAUGGUCCAACCAUGGUCUUUUCCUUCAAUUCAUCUUGUCACUGAACUGAAAUGCUCAAUUUGAUCAUUUAUUCAAUUUUCAUGCUUUUACAUUAUUCACAAUUUUAUCAUCAAUACAUAUGAAAUAACACAUCAUGAAAUUUAUAAAAUUAACAAAUAAUCACUAAAAUUUAGCCAUAUAAACUCACAAGUUUAAUUUUUGUAUUAUAACGAUAAUCAUAAUUUCAUAAUAAAUAUACCAAAUAAAACAUUAUAUCAUUUCUAAUCCAACACUUAUCGAUUAUAAUCGGGCAUGUGAUCAAUUUAUACAUGAGUCAUUCAUAUAUUUUUGUAUAUUUUCCUCCUCCUCCUCUCCAUCCACAUCCUUAGUAUAAACAACACACUUGUAGGUAACAUUAUCCAUAAUUCUCACUAUCUACUUAUGUGAAUAUUCAAGCUGUCCAUCUGUGUCAUAGUCACUAAAUUAUUUUUAUCUUGAGCUACAGAAUUCCAAAUUAAGAUCCAUAAAUUUUACCAGAAACUAGACUCAUAUGUCUUCUUACCAUAAAAAUUUCAUAAUUUUUUGUUGGUCCACUUAAUACAGUUUAUUCAUUGAAGUCUCCCCUAUUCUGCUGUCUAACAGUUCCAACCCUUCUUCACUAAAAAUUAAUUAUCUUCUCGUACAAGAUUCGAAUAAUGUCCUUGUUUGUUUCUAUUAAAAAUAGACUCAUCCAGGAUUCUAAAAAUAUAAAUUUAAGACUCUAAUUAUUUUUAUCCAAUUUUUUAUGAUUUUCCAAAUUCAGAACAGGGGAACCCGAAAUCAUUCUGACCUUGUCUCACAAAAGUUAUUGUAUCUCAUGAUUUACAAUUCCAUUGCUUCCAUUAUUUCUUUUAUAAGAAACUACACUCAAUAAGCUUUAAUUUAAUAUUUUAUUCAUCCUCUAAUUAGAUUUAUAAAAUUUUUGGUGAUUUUUCAAAGUUAAACUACUGCUGCAGCCCAAAACAGUUUUAGUGCAAAAUAUUGAUUUCUAUUUUACCCCAAAUUUCACAAUUCAUACAAUUCAGUCCUUGCUCAAUUAACCCCUCAAUUAAGAUAAUUUUCCCAAUUAAUACUUUUUCUUGACAUUAUAAGUUAUUUCAUAACUAUUGAAAUUCAGAAUUUCCACAUAAACUCUAACUUCAAACUCUUUUACAAUUAGGUCCCAAACAUUCACUUUCUAUUCAAUUCUUUCAAUAAAAUCAGAAUAUAAACAAUUUAAAGCUCUAAUUCCAUGUCAAAUCAUCAUAUACUUCCAGCACUCAUCCAUAAAAACUUCAAAAAUUAGACAUGGAAUCAAAAACUAAUGAAAUAGUAAGUUGGACCCAAUUGUAAAAGUCCAAAAACAUAAAAAAUUCAAGGAGAAAGCAAGAAUUAAACUUACAUGAAGCUAGAGUAUGAAAACCAGCUUGAACCUUCCUCCAUGGCUAUUUUUCAGCUGAUGAAUAUGAAGAGAAAUGAAGAGAAUUCUAGAUAUUCCAAUUUAGUCCCAUUUUUAUUUAGCCAAUUUUGUCAAUUUUCCAAUUUUGCCUUUAUUUCACCCAUUUCUUGAUUUUUCUCUACUAUUGCCGCCCAAAAUAUCUCCUUUGGGCUUAUUUUCACUUUAUGUCCUUCCUCAUUUGACAAUUGAGCUAUUUAAUCCUUUUAGCAACUUUUACACCCUUUUCAAUUUAGUCCUUUUUAUUUAAUUAACCACCCAAACGUCAAAAUUUUCUGACUAAAUUUUAUUACUACCUUACCAACACUCCAUAAAUAUUUCUAAAAAUAUUUAUGACUCGAUUUAUGAAGUCGAGGUCUCGAUACCUCUUUCUCGACCCAAUUUACCUAAUUAAUUCUUUUAAAUCACCAAAUUCACUAAUUCAAAAAUGCUUUUAUAUUCACAUUUGACUCAUAGGUAUUAAUUUAUUAAAUUUUCAACUCACCUGUCAGAUUUAGUGAUCUCAAAUCUCUAUUAUACCACUGAAAAUUAGGCUGUUACAAGCAUUUUCAACAUUCCUAUAGCUAGUUCCAAAGUUCAGGAUAUGUUGGUUUGGAGACACGAGGCCACUGGGGUGUAUUCUGUAAAGAGUGGGUAUAGGGCUCUAGUUACAGAAAAAUUACACAACACUGAAUACAAUCCUAUUAUAGCAGACAAAUACAAUGACUUUUACAAAUUGCUUUGGGCUUUGCAUCUACCAACCAAAGUUAAAACACAAUGUGACUAUUAAUCAACAAUUAUGUGCCUUAUUUUAGCAAUCUAACUAAACGGAGGCUCCAGAGAAUUCUGACCAUUUGAUGUGGUCCUUGGUGUAUUACAAGGGCUCUAGACUUAUCUGAAUAUCUCGAUUUCUCCAAUAGGGAAUACCUCGAAUUGCAAAGAUCGGUUAGUAAAUACUUUUAUUGAAGCAAAUGAAGGUACCAGACAAAUUUUGACUAUUUCCUUUUGGGCUUUGUGGUAUAGAAGAAAUAAAAUGGUACAUGAAGGUUUUAAGGUAUCUAUGCAAGAACUGUUGGUCUUUAUUCAAGGAUAUAUACAGGAGAUAAGUUUGAGUCAAAUCUCUAUUUCCUCAUCUAGAACUAUGGUGAAAGAGUUAUAGCACCCCCUAACCCUGGUAAUAUUAAGUUCAAUUUUGAUGUUUCUUUUAAAGGUGAUCCUAAUACUUCUGUUGCAGUAGUUUUAGCUCGAAAUGAUAAGGGACAAAUCAUUGGUGCGGGUACUUACCUAUGUGAGGGAGUAGCAAAUGCCUUCAUAGAAGAAGCUAGGGCCUGGGAAAGGAUUCUUCUAUUUUCUAUUGAAAUGGGUUUUAGGAGAAUAUUACUGGAAGGGGAUUCCCUGUCGAUUAUUAAAAAAUUAAAAUCAGAAGGGGAGGAUAGAUCAAUUCUCAAAACAAUUUCCCAAAGCAUUCGACUUUUAGAAGGUCAUUUUGAGGAAGUUACUUACCAUUUUGUUCGAAGAAAAGCUAACAAGGUGACACAUAAUCUGGAAAUGGAAGGGCGUCAGUGUCAAACACCAUGUUUCUGGGUCGAGGAGGCACCCGAUUCGGCCAAAAAGGUGGUGGAUGAGGAGUGGACUGCUUAGCUUCAUCAAAGCUGAGAAAUUGUUAUUAAGCUUUAAAGAUGGAGAAGGUUCACUAGAAUCUGCAUGGUUGGAUUUCGAAGCAAUACCAUUUUCUGUUUUGGCUGUGCAGAGUAGUUGUUGAUGAAGGAAAGGAUAAUGGUUGGUAUUCUCUAAUGGGUUCUCUUUUUAGGGUUUGGUUCGGGGGUGUGUUCUUGAGUUGGUGGUUUUUUUUUCAAUCUGUGCACUUUAUUUUAUGUUUUUUUGGUUUGGCCUUUAGUUUUUUACGUCUUUCUAUUUUCCUAUAGUGUGUUAAUGUGUCAAACUUUCUUGAACCAAACCCCUAUUAAUGAAUAUUAGUUUUCAAUGCAAAAAAAAAGUGUCAUUAUAAUAAUAUUGAUUAUAUUUUAAUAGAGGUGAUAUUUCUAUAAUUUUAUGGUUGAGUUAGUGAUCUAGUUUUGAGUAACCAGUUCAGUAAAGUGCUUAAAUAUAAGCAUUAGAUUAGAUUAGAUUAAAUAAUUAUUUACUUAUAAUAUCAAUUUAACAUUAUAUUAUUAGAAGGUAAUGAAUUUAACAUUUAUAUUAUCAAAAUCGUAAUAUUAAGGGUUUCUUUACUAGCUAAAGUUUUGUCAAUAAUUCUUUCUAGAUAGGAAAAAAAUGAAGGUUGAAGUUUCUCUCUUGAUACAGAGAAAUGAAAGACCUAGUUCUCCAAUCCCUCUUGUGGUGGAAAGAGCCACAAAGAAAGUACGAAACAAGCCAAGCAAUGAGAAUGAUAAGGUGAGAGUGCUUAAUACAGAGGCCAAGCUAUUAUGGAAGGGAACACUUCUAACCAAUCUACCUUCGAAUGUUAAAAAUCAAACAGAUUUUUCGAAUAAUGAGUUUGAUGUCUUGGACAGUGACGGUAUCGAAGUACAAUAAGGUGAUGUUCAUAUUUCCUAUGAUGGGCCUUAUCAGGAAAUCCUUUUUUUUAAAAUGAGUGCAUGAUCUUUUUGCCAAGAGCAUGGCCAAUGCGGUUAUCAUCAAGCCUCUUGGUAGAUCCAUUGGCUAUCGUACGCUGAAGGGAAGAUUUAAAAGCAUUUGGAAUCUUCAAGGGGAGUUCAAACUGGUUGAUUUAGACAAUAAUUAUUUUAUAGUGAAGUUGAGUUAUUCAAAGGAUUACAAAAGAGUUUUGACGGAGCGGCCUUAAAUGAUUUUUUGACACUACAUCAUGGUGUAACCUUGGAGUAGGGAUUUCUCAACUAAAUAAAAACAUCCUGCUAAAGUUGUUUGGAUUUGGCUACCAUGUCUCCCGUAUAGGUAUUAUAUUAAGGCAUGUUGAAAGCAAUCACGAAGGUGUUUGGUCAAGUGGUGAAAGUCGAUUACAAUACUAUGAAUGGAAAGUGAGGGAGGUUUGCUUGGAUUUUAAUGGUUGUCGAUCUUGAAAAACCUCUAAGGUCGUGGGUGGGUAUUGAUGGUACACCACAAGCAAUUGAAUAUGAAGGCUUACCAAUUAUCUAUUAUGAAUGUGGUACAUAUGGCCAUACACAUGAAACAUGCACUAAGAAACAGGAAGAUCACGAUGCAAUGAAGAGGAGGAUUAUGAAUAUGAGGAAUCAUGGACAAUAAAAAGUCUUUUCUUUAGACUCUAGACAUGCCAAAGAAAGUACAGGGGAGAAAUCUUUAUAUGACCCUUGGAUGCAAGCUCCAACUCGCCGGAGAAGACAACAUAUUACAAGAAAAUAUGGUUAAAAAGGAAAUGAGAAUAUAGAGGAAUCUCGGGGGAAUCAAGGCUUGAGAUUUGCGACAAUCUUGAAUUUAAAUGAAGAAAAUCAGACAUAAACAACGACAUUGGGGUAAAGCCAAAUAAUCAAGGGGUGGUUAUAAGGCAAGUGUUACAGUCUGAUUUAGACCCUAAUCGGAACAGUGGUUUCGGGACCACGAAUUCAAUUCAAAAAAAAUUAAAAAUUAUUUUCAGUGUUUAUUUUGUGUGAAUUUAUAUCUGUGAAAUUUUAGUGAUUUAAUUUUGUCGUUUGGGUAUCCGAUUAAAUAAAAUGACUUAAUCGCGUAAGUUGAAAACUUGAUAGUUUAAAGCAUAAGGGCCAAAUUGUUAGUGGCUUUUUAAGUUGGAGUAUUUAUGUUGAAAAUAAACCAUUGGUACAUAGGUUGGCUGGUUUUGCGCUUGUUAAAUGUGUUUUAGUUAUUAAUUAUAAAAGGUUAAAAAAAAGUAAAACAUGUAAUAAUAAUAUGAUAGUAUAUAUGUUAUAUUAUAUGAUAACUAAAAUAAUAUUUUCAUACUUCAUCACUUUUCCAAAUAUAAACAAAAGAAAAAGAAAGAACAAGAGAUAAGGUUCGGCCAAUUUUAAAGCUCAAUCAAGGUAUGAGUUUAGCUCGAUUUUUGAUAAUUUCUACGGUUUUUGAGAUUGUUGCUUCGAGUACUACAAAACCCAUGCUUUAAUUUUUUAUUUUGAUGAAUAUUUUGAGUUAUGCUAUUGUUGAGAGCUUGUGAUUUUUGAUGUUUGAUGAUGAAAUAUGGAAUAUAUGUUUUAGAUUAACAUGUUUUGUAUUGGAGUUUUUGAUGAUUUUGAGUAAUUAAGACUGAAUUGAAAAAAUAAUAAUUUGAAGGACUAAAAUGUGAAAUAAAUGAAAUAUAUGGACUUGUAUAAGCAUGGUUAAAAUUCGGCCCAACAUGGGUAUAGGAAAAUUUUGCAUAUUUUGUGUUUUGUGCAAUAGGAACUAAAUUGUAAAAAUUGUAAAUGUCAGGGGUAAAAUGGUAAUUUUCCCAUUUAUGUUUUUUGGACCAAAUUGAAUGAAAAUAUAUUUGAAUGAGCUUAAUUUUAAUAUGUUUAGAUCAAGAACUAAAGAAAGUGGAUUUGGAUCGAGGAAAAACGAAAGUCGUCGACUAGCUGCCCUGUUCUGUUUUAUAACGUCCGAGGUAAGUUAUAAGCAAAUAGACGUGUGUAAUUGUAGUUAAAUGCUAUAUAUACAUGUUGUUAUGAAAUAUAAGAAUUUAUAAUGGUUAUGGCAAAAUAUGAAAAGACUUGACUAAUACAUUUUUGAAUUCGUUUCGACCAAAAUACGAUGUUUGAAAGCCCUGUAUGAACCUUAGGAAUAGUUAGGACACAUAUUUCAUGACAUAGGAUUCCGAUUCAUGUGUGCGAGUAAUACCAUGGCAUCGAUAUAUGAUUCCAACAUAUGUGUGCGAAUAAGACCCUGUCUGGGACAGUGGCAUCAAUACGUGAUUACAUGUAAGACCACGUCUGGAACGUUGGCAUUGUACGAUGUGUGUGAUUAUCUGAGUGUCCUAUCCAAUUCCAAAUGGUUCAUCGGGCAUCGAUAAGUGGUGAACAAAUAUGUAAAAUUAGCUAAGUGAUCAGGUAUGUAUUAGCUUGGUACUUAUUUGAAGUAAGGUAAGUGAGUAUUAUGACAUUAGUUAUAAGCAUGUGUAACAUGAAUGAAAAGUAUUUGUGAAAAUGACAUGUGUAUACGGCCUUGUGAACAAGAAGUAUGAUUCUUGUUGAAAUCAUUUUAUUUAUGCAUAUAUACGUGAUCUUGCAUAAUCAGCCAUUUAGUAAUGUAUGUAUAUAAAAAUUUUAUCUUAAUUUAAGAACUUACGUAUACAAGUACAUGUGUAGUAGGUUUUAUAAUGACAAUUUGGGCUUUUGAAAAUUGAACAAUGAUUUGAUGACUUAACCUUGUGAAUAUUCGGCCAAGAUAAUGGUUUCGUGUACAGGUAUACUAUUUCUGAAAUUGUAAGUUGAAAAUAAGCUUAUAUUGUUAAUAUAAUUUGGUUGGUUUAAAAUGAAUUGUUUAUAUAUUUGAAUUGUUUAAAUCGCUUAUAACUUACUAAGCUAUAAAAGCUUACCCUGUGAAUAUGUGUGUUUCUGCUUUAUAGAUUUUGGAGUUAAGCUACGAGCUCGGGAACUGUUAGCAAAGUUCAUCACACUAUCAGCUAUUUUGGGUACCUUUAUAAAUAUACUAUAAAAAACUAUGGCAUGUAUAGGCUAGCUCAGAGUUGGCUUAUUUUGGAAAAUGGAUGUAUAAAGGCCAUGUGAAAAUGGCUUAGUUCCCAUAUUUAAAUUUGGUUAUGCUUGAUCGUGGCUUGAGUUUGUUUUAGUUAUAUUGUUCAAUGCUAUGAAGGAAAUGAUGUUUAUGUUAUAUGUUUAAUGUUGUUUAAUGUUUUAGUAUUGAUUAAAGAUUUUGGUUGGACAUAACAUUGAUUCGGCUAAGUAUACAAAGAGUAAAAUAUAUGUGAUUGCGGUGAGUAUAAUUGGCCAUUGUAUUAAAUGUGAUUCGACCUCAUAGACUUGACAAAGUCCGAACAUAGCUUAAUUUAAAUUAAUAUGGUCAUUACAUGGCAGGUAAAACUUGUGAUUUGAUUAUACGUCUAUUUGUAGUUCAUGUCUUAUUCUUAAAAGGUAUAGAUUGUAAUAUAAGUUGGUUUGAAAAUAAUAUGAUAAUGCAUUAAAAUAUUAAGUGUAUGAUAAGGUAAUUUGAUUUGUUUGUAUAUGAUAUGUAUGCUUUAAGUUUUAGGUAUUGUUUAUAUAUAUAUUUGGAUUGCGUUUUACAAUGAUUGAACUAAAUAUUCUUAGUUGAUAAGUAUUUUCAUUCAAACACAUUAAAUUAUGGUUGCAUGUAGACCUGGUUAUCAUGAUUAAGUUAUUAAAGUUGAGUCUUAAUAGUCAAUGAGUAAACCAAAGCUUAAGUUGAUCGAAUGUUAAUAAUUAUUUGGCUUUUGAGUAUGUAAUCUCAAACAUAUUGAUUAGAAUAAAUAUUUAGUGUAAUUUUGGAUGGUAUGUGUACUCAUAGAAUGAUUAAAUUUACCAAGGUUAAUUGAGCAUGUUUUAAUGACCUAGAGUAAAUACGUAUAAUCUUUUAUGAUUAAUAUUUUAAAACAAGUAUAUGAUAAUACUUGGUUAUUGCUGAACGGAUGUUUAGCCUUUAUAUUGAGUAUAAAGCAUGCAAAUUCAAAAUUGACCUUAAUCCCUAGUUGCAUAUGUAAAUAAUUUUUAUUUAUGUGUAUUAUGGCUUAUUAAAUUAUAGGAACAUGUAUGUGAUAUUUAAUGGCUUGAGCAUAAAUUCAUUUGUGACUUAAUAAUAUUUUAAAUUAUGCAUUCAAUGAUUAAUGUUGUAUAUAUAUAUGCAUUAUACGUAGUGAGUUUAAAGUUGAAAUUUGACAUGAUCUGUGUUUAAAAUGAGCAAAACGGAAUAUGUUCUGAAAUGUUAGUUAACUAUAUUUUAUUUAUAAAUAAGUUUAACUUGGGUGGAAAUUAUUUAAUGUUCAUAUUUGGGCUUUUAAUCGAUAAAGCCUCAUAACCCUAAUCCGGCGACGGAUACGAGUUAGGGGUGUUAAGCAAAGGUCUAAUCACUUUUUUAAUACAGGAUAAAAAAAGUCAAAGUCAACAGAAAAAUGGAAGAAAACUAUGUUUCCUUAUGCGAGAAAGAUUUUAAAGUCAACAGAAAAAUGGAAGAAAGCUAUGUUUCCUUAUGCGAGAAAGAUUUUAACUGCUGCAACAAAGGGCUCAGUACAAAAGAAUAAUAAUGGUAGUGGGUCUAAUGGAUCCCAACAGUCAAAAAUGGUGUUUCGAAAAGUAACAAGUUUAAAUCCAACUUACCAUCAAGUUGUAUAGAUUGAUAAAAAUAGGCCCUCUUUGCCUAUUCCCAUGCAAACUCCUUCAAGGCCUGUGUGUAACAGCCUAUUUUUUAUAAAAUUGGAAUACUGGUUUUGGGACCAUAAAUCCGAGUCAAGAAAUAAAAAAAUUAUUUUAAUACUAUUUUAUGAUCUACAGUAUAAUAAUAAUAUUGUGUGAAAAUUUCGUAAACAAAUUUUAUUGAUUACAUGUUUAAUUUGAUAAAUGACCAAAUUGCACAAAGUGCAAAAGAUGAGUUCUAAUAGCUAAAGGGAUUAAAUAGCUAUAGAAAUUUAAAUUGGAGGUCCUUAUAUAGUAAUUAGACCAUUAAUAAAAAGUUAGUAGAUAUUUUUGGAUGAUUCAUCCAUGGAAAAUUAGAAAAAGGCUUAGGACUAAAUUGGAAAGUGAUAAAAUUAAAAGAUGAUAAAUAAUUAAAUAGAAAUAAAAAUCAUUUUAUAUCAUCUUCUUCCCCAAAUAUUCCAUGGAAACCCUAGGAAAGAGAAAGCAAGCUUUCUUGGCCAAAUUAGGUAAGUAUUCAAGUCUCGUUUUUAGUAAUUUUUAUAUUUUUGAAAUCAUGAUAGUUUAAUCUAUCUAUUUGGCGGAUUAAUUUGAAAAUUUAUCAACGUAUGGAAGUUAUUCCAUGGAUGAAUAUGCUGAAAAUUUGAAUUUUAUGGUAGAAUACGAAAGGUUGUUGAUAGAUAAACAACUUUUACAAAGUGAAUUUUGAUGAAAACAUGAUUUAGGGACUAAAUUGUAAAGCUGUGAAAAUUGAAGAAAAUUAUGAAUUUUAUAGAAUACAUGUGCUUUAAAUUUUAUAUUGAAAUUGUUUUUUAGGUUUGGAAUAAGGAUUAAAUUGUAUGAAUUUCAUUUUCCGAGCCUAGGGACGAAAUCAUCAUUAAUUAAAAGUUUAAGAGCAAAAUGAUAAUUUUGCCUAUGAUGUAAAUUGGACUGAAUUGAGUUUAAAUUGUAUUAAAUUGAUGUUAAAUUUACUUGUAUAGAUCCGGAUAAACCAAAUUCGGAGUUAGAACGAGGAAAAAAAGAAAAUGUCGAAUUAGUAGAUUUUACGUACAUGAACAUUUGUUGAGGUAAGUUCGUGUAACUAAAUCGUAUAUUUAUAUGCUUGAAUUAGAUUUUCUGUAUGUAAUUUAUAUAAAUAUCAUAUAUAUAUAACAUUGAAAACUUAACCGAAAAAGCCCGAUCAUUGAUAAUGCCCGAUAAAUAAUAAAUCAUAAAAAUGUAUUUUUACGCUUGAAAUGAUUGUAGAAUGUGUUUAUUUGAAUUAUAUGAAUGUUAUAGAUGUAUGAAAUAAUCACAUGCCUGAUAAUGCUUGAAAAAUGUUAAAUCCAGUUUGAAUAAAUGAAAAUCGAUGGAUAAAUGUGAUUUCCUUUAUUGAAUGAGGUCCUACAUUUGUUACUGACGGGAUUUAGCUCAAAGAGUAAUCCUAUUAACCUCAUUACAGAAAAGAUUUAGCCUAGAAUGGUAAGUAUAAGCCCUCUUGAGCAUAUGUACAGAUAGGAUUAAGCCCGAAUGGGUAAUCCUAAUUAAGCUUUUGCGAGCAUAUGUUGGAAACAUGAUUUAGCUUGGACAAGUAAUCUUGUUAUAUGAUAUGUGGCUUGAAAGUGUGCUCCCUGGUUAUGUGCCCUAAUGGGUACCUCUGAAUACGAAUUGACGGAUCUUGAUUUGUACACCUCUAGUGUACUACCUGUGUAUCUAUCAAUAUUUCAGAUAAAUUCAACGGGUAAAAAUCCUGACAUGAGAAGAUAUGAAUAAGAAACAAGUUAUUACACGUAUCUGCCAGAAAUACAUGAAAAUGAUGAUACAUGAUAAUUGAUAUAUAGACAUGUGAGAUGAUGAUAUUUGUACAUGGAAUUUAUUUGACGAAUAUGUUCAUCCUUGAUUAUAGAUUUGUAGACCUUGAGUAUACUACUUGUCUAACAUUGAUAUUUUGAAUGAUUUAAUGGGUAAAGUCCCGACAUGAAAUAAUCUGAACUCAAGAUAAAUUAUUAUGAAUAUGUACUUGAAAUAAAAAUUUAUGAUUUAUACAUGUUAUAUGAAUACGUGAUAUGAAAAGUAUAUAUAUAUAUGGAAAUCUGAUUGUUGUUGAGUCUAUACAUGUUUCUUGAUGAUAUUUUGGAAUAUAUGACUAACAAGGGUAAUGAGGAUAUGUGUAGGGCUUGAGAUCAAAUUGAUUGAAUGUGCCUUACAUGUUUAUCUUGAAAUAGAAUAAAUGGUAAGUUAAGUACCAUGUUAUAUGAACUUACUAAGCAUUAUAUGCUUACUUAGUUUUGUUUCCCUGUUUUAUAGUAAACCGGAAGCUCAUUGGCUUGGAAGCUUGGCAGAGAUCACUCACACUAUCCAUCAGCUCAUUUCAGUAUAUAUGGUAAAUCAAUUAUAGUUAUAAUGGCAUGUAUAGGAUAAUUGGCCAUAUUGGCAUGUAAAUGCAAAUGGUAUUGUAAUCUAGCCAUUGGAAUGGCUAGUGAUGAUUAUGUUUUAGUAUAUAUUUAUUAAGAUUAUUUCAUAGUGAUAAUAAAAAUAUUUAUUAUUGAUUGAUCGAGAUAGGUUAAACAAGUAUGCCUAAAGAAGGUAAGAUUAAAAGCAUGAAUGUAUGUAAUGAUGUACCAUGUUAGAUGUUAGAAUUAACUUGGUUAUGAUGCUUGAAUUGGUUGGUAUAUGAAGGAAAGUUUUGGUGUAGGUCAUUGGCAAAGUCUGGGUGAGAAAUAAAGCUCGAAAAUGGCUUUAUUUUGUCCACAAUGGUAGACACACGUGCGUGUGUCUUGACCGUGUACGACACACGGCCUGGCACAUGGGCGUGUAGUUUGGCCGUGUAUCCCUUUCAUCUUAAAUUUGCAAACAUGUAGAGACACGAGCGUGUGUCUUGGCCGUGUGAAACCUGCACCUAAUUUCUAAAAAUUUAAUUUUCCAUACGGGCGUGUGGCAGGCCGUGUGGCACAAGUCAGAGAGUUGCACGGGGUCGAACACGGCCUGCAGCACGGGCGUGUCUUAGGGUCACACGGGCUUGUCCCUUGGACCACACGAGCAUGUGUGCCCUGCAUCCUAGAAAAUUUUAGAAAUUUCGCAAAAAAUUCUCUGAGUUCCCGAUUUAGUCCCGUCUCGAAUCUAAUACUCAUAUUAGGCCUCAAGGGUCCAUUUAAGGGAUGUUAAGAAUAAUCUUGAAAAAUAAAUAGUAAUUGACAUGAAUUAUCUGUAAAUAUUUUGUAAACUUCGGUAAUACUCUGUAACCCUGUUCUGGCGACAGAUACAGGUUAGGGGUGUUACACUAUGUCAUCUAUCAUGCAAAAUCCUUCUAAUCAUAAUGAAACUUUUCUUAAUCAUAAUGAAACUUUUCUUAACUCUAUGAAGCAAGGGGUUAAUGAGAAGGAUUACAAGUCUCGUAAACUACCUGAUGAUGUGGUAAAUGAAGGCCCUCAAGUUAGAGAAUGGAUUAAUGUCAUGAAUAAUGAAAUUGAUACAAUGGAACCAAAUGACAAUUCGAUGGAAGGGUCUAAUAUGGCUGGUGAUGACCUUGAUCUUGAGGGAGCAACAAAGUUGUAAGUCUCCUUCUUUUUUUCCUUUCUAUCUUUCUUUAUGGUUAAAGUUUUAUUACGGAAUUGUCAAGGUACAACUAGCCCAAGUUUUAGUCGUAUCUUGAAAAAUAUCAUACUGAAUCAUAAGUUGAAUGUUGUGAUCCUCAUGGACCAUAUUCAAAAGGACCAUAUUCAAAUACUCUUUUCAUGUUGAAGCUUGUGGAUUCACAAGAGGUAUAUGGGUUAUGUGGGGAGAUGAUGUUUAUAUAGAUAUCCUAGAGGUGGACUUUAAGUACAUUCACAUGUCCUAUUCUAACGUGGUUGAUAAGAAGAAAUGGAUACUCACGGUUAUUUAUGCUAGUCCUAAUACUUCUAAUAGAUUGAUCUUUAGUACUCUUUUUAUUCCAUUAGUUCGAAUAUAACUUUAUCGUGGAUCCUUGGUAGGGAUUUUAAUGUCAUUUGUUCCUCUAAUGAGCGAAAAAGUUGUGUAGUUAAGAAGAACGGGCAUUAUAGUCCUUUUCGGGAUUUCAUAUUUGAUACAGAUAUUGCUGAUCUCGGGUAUAAAGGACCAAUAUUUACCUGGCGUCGGGAGAGUUUAUUCCAAAUACUUGAUCCCUGCCUUGGUAAUGAUCAAUGGAUUCUUAAGAAUCCAAACAUUUCUAUUAUGCACCUUGAACAGGUUGGAUUUGAUCACCACCCCUUUUUACUAAAUUUUGUAGCCUUGAAUAAUCUAGGUAGUCUCCUUCCUUUUUGAUUUAUCUCGGCUUGGUUGAAGCAUGUUGAUUUUAUCGAGUUUAUUAAAUGUAAUUGGCAACAAAGUGCAAUUAUUACAACUAAUCUUGAAACUUCUCGAGAACGACUUUGGGAUCAGAAUUUUAAUGUUUUGGGGCACGUAGGAAGGAAGAAGAAAGAAAUACUUCCUAGGCUUGGUGGUAUUGAACGAGCACGGGAAUGAAGGUUUUCGUCAUUUUUGGUGAAUUUAGAAAAAGAUUUGAAGAUGGAGCCUGAUUUGUUACUCGUUUAUGAGGAAAAUUUAUGGCUCUAAAAAUCACAUUCCAAAUGGAUUAAUGAUGGUGAUAAGAAUACUCGUUUCUUCCAUUUGAAUGCCACUAAUAGGAAGAAAAGGAAUACAAUCAUGUCUUUUAAGUUAUCUAAUAGGGAAUGGUGUGAAGAUCAACAAACUUUGAAGCACAUGGUGGUAGGUUACUAUAAAAAUCUCUUUUCCAAGGACACAAAUACUUUUGAACAUUAUAAUGUUAGAGGUAUGUUUUGCUCCCCUUGACAAUAAUGACUAUGAUUUUCUGCAUCGAAAUUAUUAUGGAUAAAGAGAUUAAAAAAGUGGUGUCUGAUAUGCAAUCACUUAAAGCACCAAGAGGUACGACUAUCCAGCUAUUUUUUUCCCAAAAGAACUGGAAUUUGAUUGGGAUUAAUACUUGUAAUUUUGUUCAUAAUUGUUUUAUUAAUUGCUAAUUUGAUUCUUAGGUUAAUCGGGCUUUACUUGUUCUCAUUCCAAAAAUGAAAGUUCGGAUUCUAUCCAACAAUUUCGGCCUAUUAGACUGUGUACUGUCCUAUUUAAGAUCAUUACCAAAAAAGUGGUUAAUCAUCUUAAACCUUUCCUUCCACAGUGGGUUCAAUAGACUCAAACCAAAUUUUGUUCCGGGUCGUAACAUAAUUGAUAAUAUUGUGAUUGCUUAAGAGAUUAUACAUUCUAUGCGAACUAAAAAGGGGAAGGUAGAAUGGUUUGGUAUUAAAAUCGACUUUGACAAGGCAUAUGACCGUGUUGGAAAUUGGCCUACCAUGCUGCUGUGAUAUUUUUUUGUUAAAGUGCAUGCAGCACAUGAAGCUGCUUUAAUAUCUUCGGAUGAAGUACGUGCAGCUUGUAAACAUGCUGCAACACAUAUGCUUGCUGUAACAACAAGAUUUUCUCUUUAGUUUCAUUGUAAUCAAACUAGUUGAAAAUGAACAAGCUGAUGACAGCUUGAUAUGUUUAGGUGUUGAAUGACUAGUUUAGGUGGCUUGUUUAUGUGUACAAGUAAUGUUUUACAAGUUACUAAGCUACUUAGUGGUAGUAGGUAGUAUUUAAUGAUGCAAUUGGCUAUAAAUGUAUUGUUUUUGUUUUUCUUAUUGAAAAAAUGAGCAAAAUGAGCUGAAGCCAUAGCUCCCUUGCUGCACAUUUGUGAGCAAGUAAAAAUAUUGCCUUGUUCUGUCUUGUAUUUCUUCCUCUGUUUCAAAAAAACACCAAUAAUUGGUAUCAUGAGCCUUAGUCUUAAGGGCCAUUGAUUUUUGCUUCCGCUGCUUGUUAAAAUAAAGAAGUUGUUAAAGCAUGUUAUCAAGGACUGUUUGAAGAGAAAACAACAUCAGCUCAACCUUAAGAGACUCCCAAAUAAGCUUGAAUAAGCUGAAGGAUGAGUUUUCAAGGAAAGAAUGUGAGCUUUCCAAUGUGCAAGCUGCAAGCUUAGUAAAAUGUCAAAGCUGCAAGCUUAGCAAAAUAUCAAAGCUGCGAGCCUGUUGAAGACACCUGCUGAAGACAGUAUGCAAAUAUGCGAAUCUGUCAAAGGUACGAGCUCAGCAAAAUGUGGAAGCAAGAAGAAAACAGGACUGUAAUGAAUAAAGGAACAAGGUAAGAUGUGUUCAAAGGCAAGUUAUUUUUUCCGGAUAAAGUAUGAAGUGCUUGUGCAGGUUCAGCUUUAAACAAAGCAUCUAAAGACUGCCAAGUUCAAAAUGAAGUCCACUUUUAUACUCCUCUGUCUACAAAGGGAAGAAAACCAUACUCCUUUGUCUACAAGGGGAAAAAAACCUGGAAAGACAAGCCUAGAACAGAUGGUGUAGGAAGAUAUCCACCUUGCCCACACUGCAGAAGGCUAAGUCAUCCGGAUGAAGUAUGAUGAAUGAUAUUCGCAGCAUGGAGUCCAAGGAGGAGUGUUGGAAAUUGGCCUACCAUGCUGCUGUGAUAUUUUUUUGUUAAAGUGCAUGCAGCACAUGAAGCUACUUUAAUAUCUUCGGAUGAAGUACGUGCAGCUUGUAAACAUGCUGCAACACAUAUGCUUGCUGUAACAGCAAGAUUUUCUCUUUAGUUUCAUUGUAAUCAAACUAGUUGAAAAUGAACAAGCUGAUGACAGCUUGAUAUGUUUAGGUGUUGAAUGACUAGUUUAGGUGGCUUGUUUAUGUGUGCAAGCAAUGUUUUACAAGUUACUAAGCUACUUAGUGGUAGUAGGUAGUAUUUAAUGAUGCAAUUGGCUAUAAAUGUUUUGUUUUUGUUUUUCUUAUUGAAAAAAUGAGCAAACUGAGCUGAAACCAUAGCUCCCUUGCUGCACAUUUGUGAGCAAGUAAAAAUAUUGCCUUGUUCUGUCCUGUAUUUCUUCCUCUGCUUUAAAAAAACACCAAUAAUUGGUAUCAUGAGCCUUAGUCUUAAGGGCCAUUGAUUUUUGCCUCCGCUGCUUGUUAAAAUAAAGAAGUUGUCAAAGCAUGUUAUCAAGGACUGUUUGAAGAGAAAACAACAUCAGUUCAACCUUAAGAGACUCCCAAACAAGCUUGAAUAAGCUGAAGGAUGAGUUUUCAAGGAAAGAAUGUGAGCUUUCCAAUGUGCAAGCUGCAAGCUCAGCAAAAAUGUGCAAGCUGCAAGCUUAGUAAAAUGUCAAAGCUGCAAGCUGAGCAAAAUAUCGAAGCUGCGAGCCUGUUGAAGACACCUGUUGAAGACAGUAUGCAAAUAUGUGAAUCUGUCAAAGGUACGAGCUCAGAAAAAUGUGGAAGCAAGAAGAAAGCAGGACUGUAAUGAAUAAAGGAACAAGGUAAGAUGUAUUCAAAGGCAAGUUAUUUUUGCCGGAUGAAGUAUGAAGUGCUUGUGCAGGUUCAGCUUUAAACAAAGCAUCUAAAGACUGCCAAGUUCAAAAUGAAGUCCACUUUUAUACUCAUCUGUCUACAAGGAGAAAAAAACCAUACUCCUCUGUCUACAAGGGGAAAAAAAACCUGGAAAGACAAGCCUAGAACAGAUGGUGCAGGAAGAUAUCCACCUUGCCCACACUGCAGAAGGCUAAGUCAUCCGGAUGAAGUAUGAUGAAUGAUAUUCGCGGCAUGGAGUCUAAGGAGGAGUGUUGGAAAUUGGCCUACCAUGCUGCUGUGAUAUUUUUUUUGUUAAAGUGCAUGCAGCACAUGAAGCUGCUUUAAUAUCUUCGGAUGAAGUACGUGCAGCUUGUAAACAUGCUGCAACACAUAUGCUUGCUGUAACAGCAAGAUUUUCUCUUUAGUUUCAUUGUAAUCAAACUAGUUGAAAAUGAACAAGCUGAUGACAGCUUGAUAUGUUUAGGUGUUGAAUGACUAGUUUAGGUGGCUUGUUUAUGUGUACAAGCAAUGUUUUACAAGUUACUAAGCUACUUAGUGGUAGUAGGUAGUAUUUAAUGAUGCAAUUAGCUAUAAAUGUAUUGUUUUUGUUUUUCUUAUUGAAAAAAUGAGCUAAAUGAGCUGAAGCCAUAACUCCCUUGCUGCACAUUUGUGAGCAAGUAAAAAUAUUGCCUUGUUAUGUCCUGUAUUUCUUCCUCUGCUUCAAAAAAACACCAAUAAUUGGUAUCAUGAGCCUUAGUCUUAAGGGCCAUUAAUUUUUGCUUCCGCUGCUUGUUAAAAUAAAGAAGUUGUCAAAGCAUGUUAUCAAGGACUGUUUGAAGAGAAAACAACAUUAGCUCAACCUUAAGAGACUCCCAAACAAGCUCGAAUAAGCUGAAGGAUGAGUUUUAAAGGAAAGAAUGUGAGCUUUCCAAUGUGCAAGCUGCAAGCUCAGCAAAAAUGUGCAAGCUGCAAGCUUAGUAAAAUGUCAAAGCUGCAAGCUUAGCAAAAUAUCAAAGCUGCGAGCCUGUUGAAGACACCUGCUGAAGACAGUAUGCAAAUAUGCGAAUCUGUCAAAGGUACGAGCUCAGAAAAAUGUGGAAGCAAGAAGAAAGCAAGACUGUAAUGAAUAAAGGAACAAGGUAAGAUGUGUUCAAAGGCAAGUUAUUUUUGCCGGAUGAAGUAUGAAGUGCUUGUGCAGGUUCAGCUUUAAACAAAGCAUCUAAAGACUGCCAAGUUCAAAAUGAAGUCCACUUUUAUACUCCUCUGUCUACAAGGAGAAAAAAACCAUACUCCUCUAUCUACAAGGGGAAAAAAACCUGGAAAGACAAGCCUAGAACAGAUGGUGCAGGAAGAUAUCCACCUUGCCCACACUGCAGAAGGCUAAGUCAUCCGGAUGAAGUAUGAUGAAUGAUAUUCGCAGCAUGGAGUCCAAGGAGGAGUGUUGGAAAAUGGCCUACCAUGCUGCUGUGAUAUUUUUUGUUAAAGUGCAUGCAACGCAUGAAGCUGCUUUAAUAUCUCCGGAUGAAGUACGUGCAGCUUGUAAAUAUGCUGCAGCACAUAUGCUUGCUGUAACAGCAAGAUUUUCUCUUUAGUUUCAUUGUAAACAAACUAGUUGAAAAUGAACAAGCUGAUGACAGCUUGAUAUGUUUAGGUGUUGAAUGACUAGUUUAGGUGGCUUGUUUAUGUGUACAAGCAAUGUUUUACAAGUUACUAAGCUACUUAGUGGUAGUAGGUAGUAUUUAAUGAUGCAAUUGGCUAUAAAUGUAUUAUUUUUCUUAUUGAAAAAAUGAAUUAAAUGAGCUGAAGCCAUAGCUCCCUUGCUGCACAUUUGUAAGCAAGUAAAAAUACUGCCUUCUUCUGUCCUGUAUUUCUUCCUCUGCUUCAAAAAAACACCAACAGACCGUCUCAACUGGGAUUUUAUUAAAGGCACCCUCUUGGAUUUGAAAAUGUCGAGAUCCUUAUACCAACUUAUCAUGCAUUGUAUUCGUUCUUCAUUGUUGCAAGUUUAAAUAAUGGUACCAUGACGGGCUCCUCUAGUCCCUCUUGAUGAAUUUGACAAGGUGAUCCCCUUUCUCCAUAUAUAUUUUUGUGUUAUGCAUGGAAAGAUUAUCUCAAGCUCUUUCCCUUAAAGUUGAUUAUGGUAGAUGAUGUCCUAUCAAGCUGGCUAGAAAUGACUCACUUUUAUCCCACUUGUUUUUUGCAAACGAUUUGGUUCUUUUUAGGAAAGCGACAAUAGAACAUAUGAGAGUCAUCAAAGGUGUGCUAGAGAAGUUCUAUAAUGCCUUGGGUCAUAAAAUCAAUAAGGAUAAGAUGAUUUUUUUCUAAAAAUAUGGUGAUACAUCUACAAUAGAACAUUAACCUUAUGUUAGAGGUUAAGACAGUGAAUGACCUUGGUUGUUAUCUUAGAGUGCCUCUUUUCCAUUGAAGGGUCACAAAUGAAACUUUUAAUUUUCGUCUCCAACGUAUGCAUGCAAGUCCUACGGGGUGGAAGGCAUAGACUCUAUCUCUAGCAGGAAAUAUUUCUUUGGCGAAAUCCGUCCUCUCAACUAUUCCCUCGUAUAUUAUCCAGUCAACUACCAUUCCCAAAGGUACUUACAUUGAAAUGGAAAAGCUGAUCUGAAAUUUUGUUUGGGUUCUACAAUGGAGAAAAAACUGAUUCCUCUUUUCAAAUGGGAUUUCAUUUGUCAAGAAAAAUUAAAAGGUGAUUUCGUUUGGAAAAACAUUGAGAAGCAAAAUCAAGCCUUUAUUGUGAAAGUUGCUUUCAAUUUGGUGCAUAAAAAGGAACAUUUAUGGGAAAGAGCCUUACGAUCGAAAUAUAAAUGGGAAGGUUGACUUCCUUUAUCUUUAAAUAAGAGGGCUUGUUCAAACUUAUGGAGUAGAACUUGUAGUGUAUGGGAUCAUGUGCGAAAGAAUAUCAUUUGGAAUGCGAGGAAUGGACAAAAUGUCGAGUUCUUCAAUGACUAUUGGAUACAAGGGUGCGACCCUCUUGUGGAACAAUCUACUGUGGUGCAACAAAGAUGAAAUGGAUAGAUUUUGGUAAGUGAAGUGAUGAAUCGAGAUAAGAGUUGGAAUUGAAGCAAAAUUGAUUGUUGGGUGCCUAAGGAAAUUAAAUGUAUAAUCACUGCAAUUAAACCUCUAUCGCCAGCAAACAUUGAUGAUUUUCUUGGUUGGAUUUGGGACAGAGGCAGGUGUUUCUCGAUAAAAUCAGUAUAUGAAUCUUUAUCUAAUGAUCAAUCCUUGGUAGAGGAUCGUAUAUGGAAAUUGAUUUGGUCGUAUAGAGGAUUACAGCGAAUUCGAGUUUUAUUUUAUGGUUAGUUUGCAAUGAACGACUAUUGACAAAUCGAGAGAGAAAAAAAAAGACAUAUGACAAAUGAUCUGUCUUACUCUAUUUGUAGUGGUGCUAUGGAAGAUACUAGUCAUGUUUUAUGCACUUGCUUAAUUGUUACUACAAUUUGGUCAAAUCAGUUAAGGGGGAUAAGCUUGAUGAAUUUUUGUCCAUACCUAUUAAAUAUUGGGUUCUUUUGAAUCUUGCCAAUCCCAAAUAUUUUGCACGAGACCUUAAUGAUUGGGAUAUUUUGUUUGGAGUUGUAUGUUGGUCCUUGUGUAAUCGUCAAAAUAGAAUGCUUUUUUAGAACAAUUUCAUCGAGCGAGAAAGUGUCCGUGAAGCUAGUCCCAUGUUGUGGAAUGAGUGUUGAAAUGGUGAAUAAGGUAACCCAAUGAUAAAUAGGGACAAAAUUAUUUCUAUUUGUUGGGAGUCGCUGCUGUUAGGCUGGCUUAAAUUAAACACGGAUGGUGGUCUUACAUGUGACGGAAAUUCUGCUACAUGCAGAGGAGUUCUCAAAGAUCACUCAGGAAAAUGGUUGGUAGGUUUUGCAUGAAAUAUUAGAGCCACAUCUGUUCUAAAAUGUUGAAGUAUGGGGAGCUUAUGAUGGCCUAAAUAUGGCAUGGUCAUUGGGGACUAAAAAUCUAAUCCUUGAGAUGGAUAGCUUGAUAGCUAUUAAUUUCAUUGGCAGGGAAGACCAAAAGACUUCAUCAAACAUGGUGAUCCGUGCAAUACAGCGUAAGUUGAAGUGGAGAUGGUUUGCUCGUAUUAAACACGUGUAUUGUGAGGCUAAUGGCGUGGCAGAUUCCUUGGCAACUUUUGUGAAAAUGAGGGUAAUAAGAAUGCUGACCGAGUUAGAAUGAUGUUUAUGAAAAUAGUUAAGAAUUAGUUUCGAGUUUCUUUCCUCUUUUAUGUAUAUAAAAAAAAUCGUCAUAUUAAGAAGAAUAUAUUAGUGAUUGAGGCUUUGGCCCUCUUUAUCAAAUAUAUAUAUUAGCUAUUUUGUUUAUAUAAGGCAAUUAUCAGUUUAGUGAAAGGUAAUUAUCUAUAAUAAGAUCAAUUAAAACAAAUGUAAUCAAAUAAUAUAAUUAGAGUUUAAAGGUGUAAAAAGCCCUUAAACUUUAAAAAAAAAAAAGCAAUUAAGUCUCUCUUUGUUUUUUUUUUUGCACUCAAUUAAGCACUUGAACUUUUAAAAUGCAUAAAAAAGGCCCUCAAACUUUUUCACAAAAAGCAAUUAAGCCCCUACUUUUUUUUCCACUCAAUUGGGUACUUGAACAUUCAAAAUUCAUAAAAAAAAACCCUCAAAAACUUUUCAAAAAAACAAUUAAGCCCCUACUCUUAUUAAAAAUUAGAAAAAAUUAUAUAAAUAAUAAAUAAUAAGUUUUAGAAAAUUUAUUAAAUUUUAAUAAAAAUUAUUAAAAAUUAGAUUGUCUCGAGGAUCUGAGGAUGGAAUUUGAACUGUAAUAAUCGUAAUUGUAAUUUGUAAGUUGAAAUUAAAAUUUGAUUAAAUCUUGAAAAGGAAAAUAAUUUAAAACUUAAAUUUUGAAAACUUAAAAAUUUGGAGACACUUAAAAAUUUGGAGAAACGAGUUUUGAUCUCUGAAAUGGGUAUUUCAACUCGUACCCUUCAUUUUAAAUCUGAUAGCCUUUUAUAGAGGGCUAUUGUCUUUUUACAUCAUUUGAAUCGGAAAAUUCAAUCCCUUACAUCAUUACAUAAUUGAAACUUUCAUUACAUAAUUUGAAACUUUCAUUAUUAUCAAAUUUAAAAUGCAAAAAAUUAAUAAUUUUUAAUUUUUAUAUAAAAAUCAUAAAAAAAAUAAAAAAUCAUAAAAAUUUUAUAAAAAUCAUAAAAAUUAAUUACCCGUGUUUUUUCUUCAAUUAAAUUUAUCACAUAUUGCAACACAGUGUGACAUAUGGUGAAAAAUUAUUUAAAAAAAUCAAUAAAAGUUUUAAAAAACUUAUAAAAUGUUUCUUUUGAUACGAUAAUUUUUAUAAAUUUUUUUACGAAAUUUAUAUUUCUUUACAUGUAUAAUUUUCUUACGACUUUAUAAAAUUUUAUAAUUUUUUUGUAUUUUUAUAUAUUUUAUAAUUUUUUACAAUUUUUAUAAAAAUUUUACAUUUUUUAUAUUUUUUAUGAUUUUUAUGAUUUUUAUUUUUUCUAUUUUUUAAUUUUUUAAUUUUUAAUUAAAAUUUAAUAUUUUUUAUAUUUUUAUUGAUUUUACUUUUAUAAUUUUUUUGUAUUUUUAUAUAUUUUAUAUAUUUUGUGAUUUUUACAAAAUUCUAUAAAAUUUUAUAUAUUUUUUACCAUUUUAAUUUUUCUAAUUUUUAAUAUUUUAAUUUUUUAUUAAAAUUUAAUAAUAUUUAUAGUUUUUAUUGAUUUUAAUUUUUUAUAAUUUUUUUCAUAAUUUUUAAUAAAAACAUGGGCUUAAUUGCUUUUUUUUAAAAAAAUUUGAAGACUUUUUUGAUACAUUUUAAAGAUUUAAAUACCCAAUUAAGUGAAAAAAAAAUAAGGACUUAUUGUU
rnacentral:lncRNA from 1 species